UCGUACUUACAAUUUUGAGGUGAUUCAAUCCAUCAUAAUAGGGCUUAUUAUUGCCAAAAACUUGCAAAACCUCUUUUCUUGCACGUUCUUGCCAAUCUUGAUGCUUGCUCAAUAGCAACCUUGUCCAAUUAAGCAAAACACAGGUAGUCUCUUGGCGAGCAAAGUAAAAUAGCUUGCACUUUUCGAUCACAUCGUUGAAGCUUAUUCCAACAUUUUUGUUGUUUCCAUGUUCUUCAAUUUCUCUAAAAUUGGUCUCCAUCAGUAUGCCAAGUCAUCAUUUCCAGCUUCCUCUGCUUUCUUUGCUUUCUCUCUGUUUUUUAUGAUUCCCAUCAGUGAAGCUCGUAUUUGCUUUCUGAUGGUACCAGCCAGCCUAUAAGAAAUAGGAACAAUAGAAAAUACAAGAACGUAUUGAAUGCACUAAUCAAAUCCUACUUAUCGAUUUCAACAAUAUGAUUAACAUCUUAGAUUAACCAUAUGACGACAUGGAUCGAAGUUAUAAGCCCAGGAUGGGUCAAACCUACUUCCAUAUUUUUGGAAGAAAAUCAACUCCUACAUUGCUAAUUACUCCCAGAAGCCGUCCUCAGAAUCACAUCACUAGUUAAUUUUGCAAGAGAAGGCCGUGCACCCAACUCACACGAUCCUCCUUUAGACGUCAGGUUUUCCCACUUUGUAAUUAUUUCACUACAACUUUGGUAGAACGCAGGCAACAUAAGUUGAAACGAAACAGAAAGAAAUUAAAAUGAAGACAUUUAUGUAAACAAAUGAAGAAAUCAAUUAAUAACCUAGAGCUUCUCUUGGUGGAACUGGUUGAUAAGAUUUCUAUAGUAACCCACUUGUCACCUCAUGGCUAACCAAUGCAAGUGCCAAUAAUCUGGCAAGUGGAUCUGAAUUGAUUUUUUGAAAAUCAUUGAUCUUGGUAGAUAUCUCUUUGAUUUGAUCGGGCUUCACAAUAUUCAACCUUCGCGUCGGACCGAACCACAUAAAUGAAUUAUUGCCUGCAUCAAUUUUUAAGCUCUGGUUAUUUUGCUCGUGGCAUAACUUACCACAGCUUGAGUUACACCCAUUGGCCCAUGAUAUCAAGAAAAUUAUUGGUCUCGCAAACAACAUAGCUCAAAUGUUUCAACACCAUACAUAUUUUCUUCAUUAAUUAAAAAAAAUUACGUUUUAACCCAUAAAAAUAUUCAAGAAUUAUCUUGAUGUGUAUGAUCUCUACUAACUACAUUUAUAACGAGAAGUCUAUUUGGAUUUCUUCCACUUAUAUCAGCUCUACAAUUGUGCAAACUGAAUUAGUUUUAUUAAUAAUGGCACAAUCCAGUCGAGAUAUUAUCGUCUAAACUUUCUUUCAAGUCACCAAACAGAAGCCUGCAAGAAUUGCCUUUGAAACCUUUGCUGUCUCAGGAAUUUCUCCGGCUUCUUGGGACCCUCAGCCACACCCAGUUCAGCACUCUCCAUGCCCAGUUCCCACUGUUACGAUAACAAUGGUCAGGUCUAUGGAUUUCAGCGGCAAUUCCAUUUCACACAGAGAGAUUUUUGAAGUGUUCAAAGAAAUGAGACUUGCCUACGUGGUAGAUUAGUUGAAAGUGAAUUAAAAACAUUUUUUCGUUUGCAUAUGUUCAAUGGCUUUUCUUAGUUUCGAAUUUUCCUGUACCAUUAUAUUGUCUCCAGCUAAUGGUACACGUGUCAAUAUCAAUCAUGCAUGUGGUGAUCUUUGUGGACUUGUCACUCAUUGACUGUCUUCUAUAGAACUAGAGAAUGUAAGUUCGGUUAAUUAUUUGAAAAAAAAAAUUGUUUACCCCUAAUACAUUAAUUAUUCUCAAAAUAUCCUCAAACUAUAAUAAACAUUAAUCAAUCCACAAUUACUAUUAAGAAGGUAAAAAAAGAAAAAAGAAAUCAUCAAUCGUUCCCAUUUGAUCUUAUUUUUUGAAUGAUCAUUAGGGUAAAUUAAGGUUUACAAGAAUUUAGAGAUAACUGAAAUUAACAAAAAAUAAAUAAAAUAAAACUCAUCUAAAUAAAUUAUGCAUGGUGGGCCUAUUUGCCCUUUAAAACAUACUCAAAAUAUACUAUUAUUUAUGUAUACUCAUUUACUUAUUUUAUAAAAAGGGUGGGGCUAUUUGCACUCUUAACAUUACUAGAAUAUUCUUAUUUUAAUAAAUUGUUUUAUUACAAAAAUACCUAUUAUAUGAAUUUCCAAUAUGGAAUCUCUCUUAUAAACUAACAUAAUAAAAUUACUCCAAACACUCACUAUUCAAUAUAUGAUUAUCUUACCAUAAACCCGAAAAAUUUUAAAUCCAAUAUCUUAAACAAUAUUUAGUUAAACAAAGAGCAAAUCAAUACUUUUAAUAUAUUUUGAGCAUAUUUUUACUCUUUGAUUUUCAGAAGACAAAAAAAAAAUUGCUGUCUUCUUCCUCUUCCUCAUCCUUCUUUUAGUCUUCUUUUUCUUCGGCUAUUUCUUCUUCCUCUUUUUUUCCUUUUUUUUCUUUCUUUUUUUUUUUUUUUUGGCUAGAUAGCAAAAAAAUUUUCAAUUGUUUGGUUAAUAAAUUGGGUGCAAAAACUAAUAUUGAAUACAUUCUUUAAUAGACAAAAGCUAAUAAAGAAUAUGUUUAGAAUAUAAUUUGAUUCCUUUGUGUAUAUACUAAGUUGUUAUUAAUUCAUUUUGGAUGCUCAAUAGUUUAAUUGGUGUUUUGAGUAAAUUAGUUUAACUAGUUUAAUUAAGGUCCUUUUUUUUUAUUUUAAAGAGUGUAGAAAGUAAAAUUUAAUUAUUUUAAAUUCAACACAUUAUUGUACAAAGUAAUAAAGUGUUCAAAGUAAUUUUUGGAGUAUAAAUAACCUAAUCUUUUGAAAAAUGGUGGGACUAUUUGAAUCCACCAUAAUACUCAUUUGACCCAUGUUUUAGAAAACAUUUUUACUACUAAAUUGUCUCUAAUGUAAAUCACUAUUAAAGACAUAAUAGUAUGUAUAUACUUCAUGCUCUCAUCUUUUAAUCAUGUCUAAAUUUGUUCAAUGUGGACAUAAGAGAAAAUUUGUUUCAUACUUUUAAAUUUUUUUAAAAAUUUUCUUCAACUCCUUUGGUCGAAAACAAAUCCAAUCGAGUUGUUGGAUACUUGGAUUUGGUCAAAACUAUCUCACCAGUAAAGCUCAUUGGAAUCCAAUAAACCAAUAAGUUCUAGUCAAGCUAUUCUAGAUUCAAGCAAUAAAAUUUAGGAAAAUUAUCAGUCGUAUACUCUUAAAUGACAUCCGUAUCAAACGUGUGUGAACACUUUUGAAAUGUAUCACUCGUUUACCCUAAGUUGACAAAACACUUCUGCCGUCCGCCAAUCCGUUAACUUCCGUUUGCAAGCGCGAACAUCAUAAGGGCAAUUUAGUCUUUUAAGAUUGACGAAACUUUGAUUUAAAAAAAGGACAUGUCAUCCCAUUUACCUAGUACAAAAUGACAUGUCAUAUGAUAUAUAUUGAUAAAAAUAACAUGUCAUCCCAUUUAUCGGAUAAUUGUAAAUAAUUGCUAAAAAAAACUACUUUACAACCGAAUAUACGCCUUUAAAAUUUAACCUAAUUUUGAAGAUCUACUCCUCCAAGCUCCAACUGGAAAGUUUUAUGGUAUAAUAUGUAUAAUUGUGAAUAAUAUGUUGUUAAUAAUUUUUUAUGGUAUAAUAUGGAUUUUUUUUAUGAAUAAUUGUUAAUAAUAUGUACCAUUAAUAAUUCAUUUUUUUUAAUCAAAAAAAUGUAUUGUUAAUAACAAAAUAAAAAAAAUUGUGUAUUAAAAAUUUACGUUAAUUUUUGGGGUAAAUUUAUCUUUUUACCUUAUAUUUUGAGUUUCAAGGGCAAAAUAGCCAAUUUGUCACAAUUCUGUUAACUUUCUAAUGGAAGUUAACGGAUUGGUGGAUGGCAGAAGUGUUUUGUCAACUUAGGAUAUACGAGUAAUACACUUGAAAAGUGUUCUCAACUUAGGGUAUACGAGUAAUACACUUGAAAAGUGUUCACACACGUUUGAUACGGGUGUCAUUUAAGGGUAUAUGGCUGAUAAUUUCCCUAAAAUUUAUUUCAUUAAAUUUGCACUAUAUAAGAAAGGGAAGAGUUAUGCCAUUGACAAAUAUUGAGCGCUUGAAUUAGUUGUGUAAUCAAUUGAUUAUUCAUUACAACUAUCAUCUUAUUGUCAUUUAAUUUUUUCAUGAUAUUAUAUAUAUUUCAUAGCAGUUUAAUGACAAGCACGGACCAAAAAUAAAUUCCACUUGAGAAGUUGAAGGAUACGACCUUUGGUUAUGAAUGCGUCAAGGGUUGGAGAGAUGGAAGAAGAAGAAGAGAAGAAAAAUGUUGCAGAAAACCAUGAAUUAAUUUCAAGGAUAUGUUGGUUAUUAACAUGGGUUUAUAAAGUAUAAUAUAAAAUUUUUAACAAUAGAAUUAAUAAGUACAUGAGUUUACAAAGUAAUUUGGUGGGUUCAAAUAUACUCACUCUUUAAAAUAAUUAAUUUUUACUCUGCACACUCUUUUUUUUUUUUUUUUUUUUAUGAGAAAGUAAAGCUUUCAAUUGAUAAAGAAGAAGAGAACAACAUCAACACCUGGACAGGGAAAUCACCUAUCCAGGUGACAGCUUCCUCAAACUCAAGAGCUACAUUAGCUAAGUUAUGGGCUAUUACAUUAGACUUUCUUGGGACAAAACGAAUAGCUGCCGAGGCCUGGUUUUUCAACUCUGCUUGUAUUUCUUCAAUGUUCCAACAAAUUUCAGCCAAACUUUCCUUCUUGUUUAAAGUGAGCUCCACAACUUCCUUCAAGUCUGAUUCAACAAUGAAUUGGGCACAAUUUGUUUUCUGAGCUACUUGAAUACCGAGCAGCACUGCUUCUGCCUCCAUGUUUGCCACAUUUCCUUUUAAAGCUACUCUCUUAACAGCUGCAACCACAAUCUCAUCAAAUACUAAAAAAGCUACUCUCUUAACUCUGCACACUCUUUAAAAUACUAAAAAAGUCCUCAAUAAAACCUUUAAGUAAAUCAAUUAAGAAUUUCAAGCUAAAAUAAAUCUAUACAUGUAAUCACAAUUUAUUAAAAAUGGUAGUAAAACUUUUAUAUUUGAAGUCAAGUACUUAAUUACCAAGCUUAAAUAAAUUAAACAAUUAAAAUUUAUUCAUCUUUUUAAAUUUUAAAAUAUUAUUAGUCAAAAAUUUCAAUAAUAAACUAAACUCAACUUAACAUAAAUUUAUUUGGGUGUCAUUGUUUCUUUGUCAUACACUCUACCUUUUUUUUAAAGAACCUACUGUUGAUAGUUUUUCUAUCAAAAACUCCUCAAAAUAUUUAAAUUUUAUCUUCUAACUUGUCCUCUUGGUUAAUGUAACUAAUAACUAAAAUCUCAAAAUUCACAUAAAAGUUUAUGAAAUGUUGAUAGAUAGUUGUUACUAUAUAUCUUUUUUUGUAAGUAUUGGCAUUUUUUCAAUUAAAUUAUUUUUAUAAAUAAAUUAAAACAGUAAUAAUAUUUUAGUCCCCAAAUCUUUUCAAUCUAUUCAAUAAAUAUAUAAUUUAAUUAUUUCAUGAAAUAAGUCACUAAUUCCAACUGGGAAGAAAAUAUAAUUGAAUUAGGAACAUGUUUGAAAAUAAAAUAAAAACUCUAUUAUUUUAUAAAACUGAUUUAAAAAAAACAUAAGGGUAGUUAAAUUAGGGACAUAUAUAAAAAAAAUAAAACUAUAUUAUUAUCUAAAAUUAAUAAAAAAAAUAAGGGGUAUAAAUAACUUUCCUGGACUAAUCCGGGCUACCCCCGCUUAGGUCCGCUUCGCACUCAUUAUUCCAAAUACAACGUUUAAAAUUUAAAAUCAAAUUUUUACUAUGUAAAAUAUAUAAAUCUAAAAAAUAGUCUUGAAUUUUUUUUUUUUGGGCUCCUGUUUUAUUAUUCUUUUUCGAAAGUAAUUUUCUUUCUUCUUAUUAAAGGCUUGAGAUAAAUUAUAUAUCCCUUUUCUUUUAUUGAAUCAUAAUUCUUCGUUUCUUUUAUUGAAUCAUAGUUCUUGUGAUUUUGAUUUUUCGUAUGUAUUGCCUACAAUUUAUCAUUGAGGUAUCAGUUACAUAAAUAUAAUUUUCCAUUAAUCUUAUUUCGAAGAUGUUAAUGAAAUAUAUUUGGUGAAAACGAUAUUAGAGUGAGGAUACGUGCACCCAUGACAAAAAUUUGCAAAGAAGUCUUCAAUCUUUCAAAUUUUCCAAUUGAUAAAGAAUUGAUUUAAAAAGAAGAAGAUGAUGAUGAUGGUGAUUUAAGAUUUUAUAAUACAUGGGUGUGUCAAGGAUAUUUGUUUCAAGUUAAAAUUAUUCAAUCCUUAAUACUAAUUUCAUAAAAGGACAUUUUUAUAAUAUAAAAUUUUAUUAAAUAAAGAGGAUUAAAAAUAACUUUUAGAAUAUAUAAAUAAAUAGCCUCACGCGAUUAUAAAGUACAAGGUCACUCGAUGAUGUCAUGAAUUUAUGUAAUCAAAUAUGAAUUAUGUAAAUGAAACAUAAGACUUAUAAAUUUAAUAUAAAACAUGUAAAUCAAUAUUAACUGUGAAAUAACAUAUAAAUUAUGUAAAUAAAAUAUUAGACUUGUAAGUAGAAGGUAAAACAAACAAAUUAAUAUAGGAGUGAUAAAUUGGUAUAUUAUUGAUAAACAAAAGAAAAACUUACAAAUGUAAUAUAUAAUUUAUAAAUCAAUAUUAAGUGUGAAAUAAAAUAUAAAUUGCGUAAAUGAAACAUAAGACAAGUAAAUAAAAGAUAAAAUAAGUAAAUUAAUAUAAGAUUGGUACAUUAAUGUAUUGGUAAUAAACAAAAUAAAAAUUUAAAGAUAUAAUAUAAAACUAUAAAUCAAUAUUAAGUACAAAAUAAAACAUAAGUUUAAGUGUGAUUUACAAAAUUAAUAUAAGAGUUAUUAAAAAAAAUACAAAUGUAAAAUAAAAACUCAUUAUAAUAUUGAUUACCUUAUAUAUUUAUUGAUUCUAUUUUAAAUUGAAUAAUGAUAGUUUUGGUCUUAUGUAAUAAAUGUGAUGUUUUAUAUAAAUUUAUUCUCAAAAUUAGGUUUUGAAAUCUAUUCUUUUAAUGUUUUUCGAAUUUAUUGUAAGAUGACAUGAUUUUUCAUCCUUCUAAAUCUCCUCAUCAGCAAUGCAAAUAGUUUCUAAAUACAAGUAAGGGGGGACGGUUAAAAUUACAAGAAGUAUAUGUAAAACUCAAAAUUAGAUCUAAUUUUAUUGAAAUGUCAUAUAUGUGUUUAGUAAUAUAAGAAUAUGUUUUUAUUUUAUUUUUUUUGUUUAAUCCACAUUAAGAUAAAUUAUUUUGCUUAGUUAACUUGUGUAGUAAAAAAAAAAAAAAAAAACAAUGACAGAAAAUGAAAAAAAAAGUUUAUAAAUAUCUUAAGACAAAUAUAGAAUUUAUUCUUAAACCAAUUUAGUAAAACUUAUUCUACUUGUUUUCAGUAUAAUUUUUUUGGUCUUAGAUUGAUGACUAUUUUUUUUUUUUCAUUGUUUAACUAAAGUAAAUGAAUAAAUUAUUUUUUUUCACUAAAAUUAUGUAGAAAUCAUGUUAUAUGUUUUAAUAAUUAACUGGUUUAUAUUAAUUUACAUGUUUUAUCUUCCAAUCACUUAUCUUAUGUAUAAUUUUAUAAAAUAUAUUUUUUACCACAGCAUUAAUGCUGUAAUUCUAAUCAUGGCAUUAUAAAAUUUUCCAAUGUGGGGAAACAUCUUUACUCUAAAUAAAACUAGAGUUGUGUUGAGCUCAAUUUAAAUAUCUAAACAGCUCUUGUCUAAGCUUUGAAUCUCAAUACAAAUUUAAAUACAUUAAACUUCAUUAUAAAAGAGUCUACAUUGGCAUCAUGCUAAUCUUAUUGACAAUAUAUAGUUGCCGGUAUUAAUUAUUUUUGCACCAUAGCUUCCGUAGAAUCAAUUGGGUACCCAGUUCCGGAUGAAGGGUUGGAACCGCCGUUGGAGCAUGGACAUAGGAUGGAGACAACUCGAAUGAGUAGUUUUGAAGAAUCAUUGCCGUGGCCAUUUUUGCUUCUACUAGAGCAAAAUUUUGUCCAACACAUAUCCUAGGACCCGAUGCGAAUGGGAAAUAUGAAACUUGAUUUUUUGCCGCCUUUGAAAUUCCUUCCGCAAACCUUUCCGGCUUAAACUCAACUGCAUCGUCACCCCAAAGUUCAGGAUCCUGGUGAACUAGGAUCAUUGGCAAGCCAAUUUGAACCCCAGCGGGUAAUGUCAAGUUUCCGAGUUUCGUUUCCUUAAGAACAGCUCGACUAAGCGCAGUUAAGGGCGGAUAAAGCCUGAGUACCUCGUAAAGUAUCAUCUGGACCUGUCACAUACAUACAAACACAACUGAGAUUAAUAUGAUCAAAUUGAUCAAUAUCGAAUACUAUUUCCUUCGUACUUACAAUUUUGAGGUGGUUCAAUUCACCAUAGUCGGGCUUAUUAUUGCCAAACACUUGCAAAACCUCUUGCCUUGCACGUUCUUGCCAAUCUUGAUGCUUGCUCAAUAAGACCAUUGUCCAAUUAAGCAAAACAGAGGUAGUCUCUUGGCCGGCAAGGUAAAAUAGCUUACACUCUUCGAUCACAUCGUUCAUGCUGAACCCAACAUUUUUGUUAUUUCCAUGUUCUUCAAUCUCUCUAAAACUGGUUUCCAUCAGUAUGCCUAACAAGUCAUCAUUCGCAGCUUCCCCUGCUCUCAUUGCCUUCUCCCUAUUUUUGAUGAUUCCCAUCAAUGAAGCCCGGAUUUCCUUGUCAAUUUCUUUCAUUCUCCUAUUUCUCUUUGUAGGUAAAAACCUAUAUAUAAGCAAUGAAACAACUUUAAAGACAAGAACUAAACAAACUAAUCAAACCCUUAAUUUUUUUUUUUUACCCUCUUUUUACCAAUCAGAAAUCUGCUGGAGCCUCUUAGAAUAACUCUAUGAUUAGCUCAAUCAAGAUAUCUGAGCCGAAAUCAGCUAGGUCUACUUCUAAUAUUUUGCGCGAAAGAAAAUAACUCCCACAAAGCUAAUCAAAGCCUACUCAUAAAUAAUCCUAUAUGACAUGUAUAUAUGAAUGUUUCCAGUGAAGAGAAAUGUGAAUAUACCUCCAUCCUGGAAUGUGAACUGAACGAAAGACUUGCAUUGUGAGUUCAGCUAGCUCUGCCUGGAGCUGAAAAAUCCUUCUUCCUUCUUCAUAACUACUCCCAAAAGCCGUUCGAGAAAUCACAUCACUUGUUAAAUUUGCAAGAUAAGGCCAUACAUCCAACUCAGAUGAUCCUUCUACAGACAUUUGCUUCUCCCACUUUGUAAUUAUUUCGGUACAACUCAAGUAGAAUGCUGGCAACAUAAGCUGUAACAAAAGCAAGAAAUCUAAAUGAGGGCAAAAUCGAAUCUUCCAAAGAUAUGUAAACAAAUGGAGAAGUUAAUUAAUAAACCUUGAGCUUCUCUUGGUGGAAGGCUGGGUUGAUGAGUUUUCUAUGUUUAGCCCACUUCUCCCCCUCAAGGCUAGCCAAUCCAACUAUCAGCAGCCUGGCAAGUGGGAUUGAAUUGACUUUUUGAAAAUCAUUGAUCUUGGUAAAUAUCGCUUUUAUUUGAUCAGGAUUCAUAAUAUUCACCCUUGGUGUCGGACCAAACCACAUGAAAGAAUUCUUACCUGCAGAAAUUUUUUACCAAUAUACGCACAUGUUACUUGUUAGAGGCAGAUGGUACAUUGAAAAUGGUAGUAUACCUAAGCUGUGAAAAAUUAGUGAUUUUAUUCACAAAUCAGUCAAAGAAUAACCAUUCAUACUAAUUGAUUUUACCUCAAGCAGAAAAGAUCUAACAAGCAACUUUGCCCAUUAUAAGGUAAACAAUUAGAAACAUGGCACGAUUUAUAAGAUAAUGUAAAAGCCUAACGGCGUUGAAACAGUGAAUUAAUCAGACAACACUCAGCAAAAGGAACAACGCUGCCCUCUGGGAAUUUUACAUGUGGCAUAGCCCAUCCACAGGUUGAAUUACACCCACGCACCUAUCUCAUCAAUACAUUAGUGGUUCUAGCCACUCAGUCAAGGCUGAGUGGUAAAGUAUCACCACUUAAUUAAAAAAAAAAAAAAAAGGAAAAAAAAGAGAGAGAAGUUUAGCCGCAACGUCGAUUUUUUUCUCUGAUCAAAGAAGCGUAAAAUUAUGUUUUAACCCACCAAAAUUUUCAAGAAUUAUCUUUACGUGAACCAUCUCUACUGAAUCAGAAGUCUAAUCAAAUUUCUUUCGUCGGAGAGGAUUAAUUCUUUAAGCAGUGGCACAGUCCAGAUAUUUGAGUCAUUUGAGACCAGAACAGAACGUAUCUACUUUUGAACGAGUAAAAUUAAAAGAGUACACGCCGGGAUUGACAUACAUACCAUAAUCAUUUACCAGUUUAUGAAGGAAUGGAUUGACACGAAUAGCAAUAUUGUCAUCCAAACUGAGGGGUCUGGCUUUGGCUUCCUUCAGCUCGAUGGAAUUUUCUUUCAAGUCACCAAACAGAAGCCUGUAAGAAUUGCCUUUUAAACCUUGCUGUCUCAGGAAUUUCUCCAGCUUCUUGGGCCUCAGCCACACCCAGUUCAGCACUCUCCAUGCCCAUGUUAGCACCGUUAGAAUAACAAUGGUAACAGCUAUGGAUUUCAGAGGCAACUCCAUUUCACACUGACAGAUUUUGCGGGUUUAAAUUUGCAGAGACGAACGAGAAUGAUAUAUAUAGUCAUCAAGCGAAUGAGAAAAUCGUUUUCCUUUGCAUGUGUUUUUGAUUAGGUGUUUUCUGGAUCGAUACGUGUCAAGCUUGCAUGUGACUGUGAACUGUGGACCCUGUUCUAGAACUAGACUGUUUGGGAUCGAUUAAUUUUAAAAAAUAAACUAAAAUUCAUAUGGUAAGAAUUUUUAAGUAUAAAUGUUUGUAAAAUAAAAUCUAAACCUACAUUUGAAUGGCAAGCAUCUAGAAACAAGAUCUGUAUUCUGUCAUAUGACGCCAGGAAAUAUACUGCCUUUUCGUAAAUGCAUAAUCAAGCAGCAUGAUGUGCUCUGCUUUCACACGAAUGUAGGUCCACUUUGUCUUGGCUUUUACGGAAUUUCAAUUCUAUUGUUAUGGGGAUUAAUGGCUCUGCUUAAUUUUGGGGUCUGCUUUCAGAGAAAUACAAAACGAUUAGAACUCUGCUUUGUGAUACAGACAAGACGCAAUGGAUCUAUCAUCUUCAUCUCUACUCCUAUUUCAUUUAUCUUUAUCAUGAAUAUAAUCCACGAUUCUCAAACAUGAUAAACAAGGUCACAAACUAUGGUGUACCAAUCGGCUGUUUUUUUUUUAACUUAAUUAAUUUAAUUUAAAUCAUUGAGUCCAUUUAUUUUUUCAACUUAAUGAAAAUUUUCAAUCACUAAAUCAUUCAGUUACCAAGCUAAUUUUUAAAUUUUUUGUUUAAUCUAAAAAGUCUAAAUAAUAACAUUAAAAGAUUUUCUCUAAAAUAUCUCUAUCUAAUUAAUUAAUUUUUACCCUUACCUAAAUAAAUUUUAAUAAUUGAUGUUAUUACCUACCUCUAUAACUUGUGAUAAUAUAGUGCACUAGUAGACUACUAUUAUUUUUUAUUUUUUAUUUUCUUCAAAUUAAAAUUAUUUAUCUUCAUAAUUUUUCAUAAUUAUUUUUCAUAUAAAAACAUCAUAAACUAUAGUAAAAUUGAUUAAUAUAUACUAAUUUAAAAUAUUAAAAAGAGUAUAGACAUUAUGAGACAGUAUCAUUAAGCAGCUACUGGAAUAAGAUGUUAUGAGCCUAAAUUUUAUAAGGUCAAAGUUGAAUUUGGCCGAUCCUUUAACAAAAAAAACUAAACAAGAGUUUAGUAGAGAUCACAUCAAGGGAGAUGGGACUAGUGGCUAGAUCAUAAGACAAGAGUGAUGGUAACCCUACCUAUGUGAUUGGAGAUCCAUGAAAAAUGUUCAAUAAGUUACUUGUUGUUUUGGAAUGCUCUCAAUAUUAUGUAAUCUUAUUUUUAUUCAAUAAAGAUUUUCUUUAUUUAUAAGUCCUCCUUAUAAUAAGAUAAUGUUUAUCGCAGUGAGUUAGGUUAAGCAAUUGAGCUUUUCAUGAACUCCAUAACUCAAUUUUUAUGUAUGAUGGUGUGUUAAAACUGCAUGACAUACUUGAUGGAGGUUCACCUAUGUUAGUGUGGAAUUGGAUAAGUUCCUAUGAGAGUUAAACAUGCUUCUCUAGAGCGCUCAUGAAUACAAGGGCACAGGGCUACUAAAGUGCCAAACCGCAGAACAACAAAAUAUUGAGAGAGUUUAAUGUGAGCUUCUAGUCAUCUGCCUUACAAAAAAAAGAAUAUUGGUUUAUAGAAAUUAUCAGUUUCACCAAGUUCCUAUGACACAUGGUUAGUUAUUCAAUGGCCAGUUCAUAGCCCCAAAGGCACCAGUUCAUAUGCAUUAAACUCUAUGGACAAUGAUGAAGUCGAAAGAAAUUGAGUAUUUUGAAAUAUGUGGAGGAUUGUUAAAGAUUGAGUUGGUAUUUUAAAAUACCAAUAUUCCACAUUACUUAAACAAAAGAGUACAAGUUGGUUUUUAUAUAGAAAACAAAUAUAGUGUAGUAACAAGCCUAUGAAGAGGAGGCUCAUAUGCAUGAAACCAAGCGCGAGAGAGGAGUUCAUUCCAUGACUCUAUUAAUUGGUUGCUCGUACCCAAUAACUCACUCGCAAUGGGGACCCUCCUUCCCCCCAUGGGGUGUCAUGUAUGAGUGUGGGCUUGGCCAUCUAUUAUGUUUUGUCCUUUGUUUUAAUUUUAUUUAUUUUAAUUCGAAUUAGAUUGAGAAUUCAAUUCCUAAUGGAAUUAGGAUUUAAUAAACAUAAUUAUAAUUCAGAUUUAGAGAGGAAAAGGGGGUUAGGGCUUGUAUCUAUUUAAAGAGCCGAAUAUAUCACACUAUGGUCAUCCAAAAACUUACUCUCUUGCUCUCUGUUCUUUGUUGCUCUUUGUUUUCCUUUCUUUCGUCAUUGUACGUUUUGCUAUUCUGAACUAUCAAGUUGAAGUGCAACAUCACAAUCGUAAUAGUAAUUGUAUCAUGGAGAUCAAACUACUUUUGUUAGCCCUUCUUGCACCGAAAUACUGCAUCUUGAGAUCAAGCUUAUUCCAACAUUUUUGUUGUUUCCAUGUUCUUCAAUUUCUCUAAACUUGGUCUCCAUCAGUAUGCCAAGUCAUCAUUUCCAGCUUCCUCUGCUUUCAUUGCCUUCUCUCUGUUUUUAAUUAUUCCCAUCAGUGAAGCUCGUAUUUGCUUGUCAAUUUCCUUCAUUCUCUUAUUUCUUUCUGAAGGUACCAGCCAGCCUAUAAGAAAUAGGAACAAUAGAAAAUACAAGAACGUAUUGAAUGCACUAAUCAAAUCCUACUUAUCGAUUUCAACAAUAUGAUUAACAUCUUAGAUUAACCAUAUGACGACAUGGAUCGAAGUUAUAAGCCCAGGAUGGGUCAAACCUACUUCCAUAUUUUUGGAAGAAAAUCAACUCCUACAUUGCUAAUUACUCCCAGAAGCCGUCCUCAGAAUCACAUCACUAGUUAAUUUUGCAAGAGAAGGCCGUGCACCCAACUCACACGAUCCUCCUUUUGACGUCAGGUUUUCCCACUUUGUAAUUAUUUCACUACAACUUUGCUAGAACGCAGGCAACAUAAGUUGAAACGAAACAGAAAGAAAUUAAAAUGAAGACAUUUAUGUAAACAAAUGAAGAAAUCAAUUAAUAACCUAGAGCUUCUCUUGGUGGAACUGGUUGAUAAGAUUUCUAUAGUAACCCACUUGUCACCUCAUGGCUAACCAAUGCAAGUGCCAAUAAUCUGGCAAGUGGAUCUGAAUUGAUUUUUUGAAAAUCAUUGAUCUUGGUAGAUAUCUCUUUGAUUUGAUCGGGCUUCACAAUAUUCAACCUUCGCGUCGGACCGAACCACAUAAAUGAAUUAUUGCCUGCAUCAAUUUUUAAGCUCUGGUUAUUUUGCUCGUGGCAUAACUUACCACAGCUUGAGUUACACCCAUUGGCCCAUGAUAUCAAGAAAAUUAUUGGUCUCGCAAACAACAUAGCUCAAAUGUUUCAACACCAUACAUAUUUUCUUCAUUAAUUAAAAAAAAUUACGUUUUAACCCAUAAAAAUAUUCAAGAAUUAUCUUGAUGUGUAUGAUCUCUACUAACUACAUUUAUAACGAGAAGUCUAUUUGGAUUUCUUCCACUUAUAUCAGCUCUACAAUUGUGCAAACUGAAUUAGUUUUAUUAAUAAUGGCACAAUCCAGUCGAGAUAUUAUCGUCUAAACUUUCUUUCAAGUCACCAAACAGAAGCCUGCAAGAAUUGCCUUUGAAACCUUUGCUGUCUCAGGAAUUUCUCCAGCUUCUUGGGACCCUCAGCCACACCCAGUUCAGCACUCUCCAUGCCCAGUUCCCACUGUUACGAUAACAAUGGUCAGGUCUAUGGAUUUCAGCGGCAAUUCCAUUUCACACAGAGAGAUUUUUGAAGUGUUCAAAGAAAUGAGACUUGCCUACGUGGUAGAUUAGUUGAAAGUGAAUUAAAAACAUUUUUUCGUUUGCAUAUGUUCAAUGGCUUUUCUUAGUUUCGAAUUUUCCUGUACCAUUAUAUUGUCUCCAGCUAAUGGUACACGUGUCAAUAUCAAUCAUGCAUGUGGUGAUCUUUGUGGACUUGUCACUCAUUGACUGUCUUCUAUAGAACUAGAGAAUGUAAGUUCGGUUAAUUAUUUGAAAAAAAAAAAUUGUUUACCCCUAAUACAUUAAUUAUUCUCAAAAUAUCCUCAAACUAUAAUAAACAUUAAUCAAUCCACAAUUACUAUUAAGAAGGUAAAAAAAGAAAAAAGAAAUCAUCAAUCGUUCCCAUUUGAUCUUAUUUUUUGAAUGAUCAUUAGGGUAAAUUAAGGUUUACAAGAAUUUAGAGAUAACUGAAAUUAACAAAAAAUAAAUAAAAUAAAACUCAUCUAAAUAAAUUAUGCAUGGUGGGCCUAUUUGCCCUUUAAAACAUACUCAAAAUAUACUAUUAUUUAUGUAUACUCAUUUACUUAUUUUAUAAAAAGGGUGGGGCUAUUUGCACUCUUAACAUUACUAGAAUAUUCUUAUUUUAAUAAAUUGUUUUAUUACAAAAAUACUUAUUAUAUGAAUUUCCAAUAUGGAAUCUCUCUUAUAAACUAACAUAAUAAAAUUACUCCAAACACUCACUAUUCAAUAUAUGAUUAUCUUACCAUAAACCCGAAAAAUUUUAAAUCCAAUAUCUUAAACAAUAUUUAGUUAAACAAAGAGCAAAUCAAUACUUUUAAUAUAUUUUGAGCAUAUUUUUACUCUUUGAUUUUCAGAAGACAAAAAAAAAAUUGCUGUCUUCUUCCUCUUCCUCAUCCUUCUUUUAGUCUUCUUUUUCUUCGGCUAUUUCUUCUUCCUCUUUUUUUCCUUUUUUUUCUUUCUUUUUUUUUUUUUUUUGGCUAGAUAGCAAAAAAAUUUUCAAUUGUUUGGUUAAUAAAUUGGGUGCAAAAACUAAUAUUGAAUACAUUCUUUAAUAGACAAAAGCUAAUAAAGAAUAUGUUUAGAAUAUAAUUUGAUUCCUUUGUGUAUAUACUAAGUUGUUAUUAAUUCAUUUUGGAUGCUCAAUAGUUUAAUUGGUGUUUUGAGUAAAUUAGUUUAACUAGUUUAAUUAAGGUCCUUUUUUUUUUAUUUUAAAGAGUGUAGAAAGUAAAAUUUAAUUAUUUUAAAUUCAACACAUUAUUGUACAAAGUAAUAAAGUGUUCAAAGUAAUUUUUGGAGUAUAAAUAACCUAAUCUUUUGAAAAAUGGUGGGACUAUUUGAAUCCACCAUAAUACUCAUUUGACCCAUGUUUUAGAAAACAUUUUUACUACUAAAUUGUCUCUAAUGUAAAUCACUAUUAAAGACAUAAUAGUAUGUAUAUACUUCAUGCUCUCAUCUUUUAAUCAUGUCUAAAUUUGUUCAAUGUGGACAUAAGAGAAAAUUUGUUUCAUACUUUUAAAUUUUUUUAAAAAUUUUCUUCAACUCCUUUGGUCGAAAACAAAUCCAAUCGAGUUGUUGGAUACUUGGAUUUGGUCAAAACUAUCUCACCAGUAAAGCUCAUUGGAAUCCAAUAAACCAAUAAGUUCUAGUCAAGCUAUUCUAGAUUCAAGCAAUAAAAUUUAGGAAAAUUAUCAGUCGUAUACUCUUAAAUGACAUCCGUAUCAAACGUGUGUGAACACUUUUGAAAUGUAUCACUCGUUUACCCUAAGUUGACAAAACACUUCUGCCGUCCGCCAAUCCGUUAACUUCCGUUUGCAAGCGCGAACAUCAUAAGGGCAAUUUAGUCUUUUAAGAUUGACGAAACUUUGAUUUAAAAAAAGGACAUGUCAUCCCAUUUACCUAGUACAAAAUGACAUGUCAUAUGAUAUAUAUUGAUAAAAAUAACAUGUCAUCCCAUUUAUCGGAUAAUUGUAAAUAAUUGCUAAAAAAAACUACUUUACAACCGAAUAUACGCCUUUAAAAUUUAACCUAAUUUUGAAGAUCUACUCCUCCAAGCUCCAACUGGAAAGUUUUAUGGUAUAAUAUGUAUAAUUGUGAAUAAUAUGUUGUUAAUAAUUUUUUAUGGUAUAAUAUGGAUUUUUUUUAUGAAUAAUUGUUAAUAAUAUGUACCAUUAAUAAUUCAUUUUUUUUAAUCAAAAAAAUGUAUUGUUAAUAACAAAAUAAAAAAAAUUGUGUAUUAAAAAUUUACGUUAAUUUUUGGGGUAAAUUUAUCUUUUUACCUUAUAUUUUGAGUUUCAAGGGCAAAAUAGCCAAUUUGUCACAAUUCUGUUAACUUUCUAAUGGAAGUUAACGGAUUGGUGGAUGGCAGAAGUGUUUUGUCAACUUAGGAUAUACGAGUAAUACACUUGAAAAGUGUUCUCAACUUAGGGUAUACGAGUAAUACACUUGAAAAGUGUUCUCAACUUAGGGUAUACGAGUAAUACACUUGAAAAGUGUUCACACACGUUUGAUACGGGUGUCAUUUAAGGGUAUAUGGCUGAUAAUUUCCCUAAAAUUUAUUUCAUUAAAUUUGCACUAUAUAAGAAAGGGAAGAGUUAUGCCAUUGACAAAUAUUGAGCGCUUGAAUUAGUUGUGUAAUCAAUUGAUUAUUCAUUACAACUAUCAUCUUAUUGUCAUUUAAUUUUUUCAUGAUAUUAUAUAUAUUUUAUAGCAGUUUAAUGACAAGCACGGACAAAAAAUAAAUUCCACUUGAGAAGUUGAAGGAUACGACCUUUGGUUAUGAAUGCGUCAAGGGUUGGAGAGCUGGAAGAAGAAGAAGAGAAGAAAAAUGUUGCAGAAAAUCAUGAAUUAAUUUCAAGCAUAUGUUGGUUAUUAACAUGAGUUUAUAAAGUAUAAUAUAAAAUUUUUAACAAUAGAAUUAAUAAGUAGAUGAGUUUACAAAGUAAUUUGGUGGGUUCAAAUAUACUCACUCUUUAAAAUAAUUAGUUUUUACUCUGCACACUCUUUUUUUUUUUUUAUGAGAAAGUAAAGCUUUCAAUUGAUUAAGAAGAAGAGAACAACAUCAACACCUGGACAGGGAAAUCACCUAUCCAGGUGACAGCUUCCUCAAACUCAAGAGCUACAUUAGCUAAGUUAUGGGCAAUUACAUUACACUUUCUUGGGACAAAACGAAUAGCUGCCGAGGCUUGGUUUUUCAACUCUGCUUGUAUUUCUUCAAUGUUCCAACAAAUUUUAGCUCAACUUUCCUUCUUGUUUAAAGUGAGCUCCACAACUUCCUUCAAGUCUGAUUCAACAAUGAAUUGGGCACAAUUUGUUUUCUGACCUACUUGAAUACCGAGCAGCACUGCUUCUGCCUCCAUGUUUGCCACAUUUCCUUUUAAAGCUACUCUCUUAACAGCUGCAGCCACGAUCUCAUAAAAUACUAAAAAAGCUACUCUCUUAAUUCUGCACACUCUUUAAAAUACUAAAAAAGUCCUCAAUAAAACCUUUAAGUAAAUCAAUUAAGAAUUUCAAGUUAAAAUAAAUCUAUACAUGUAAUCACAAUUUAUUAAAAAUGGUAGUAAAACUUUUAUAUUUGAAGUCAAGUACUUAAUUACCAAACUUAAAUAAAUUAAACAAUUAAAAUUUAUUCAUCUUUUUAAAUUUUAAACUAUUAUUAGUCAAAAGUUUCAAAAAUAAAUUAAACUCAACUUAACAUAAAGCUAUUUGGGUGUCAUUGUUUCUUUGUCAUACACUCUACCUUUUUUUUUAAGAACCUACUGUUGAUAGUUUUUCUAUCAAAAACUCCUCAAAAUAUUUAAAUUUUAUCUUCUAACUUGUCCUCUUGGUUAAUGUAACUAAUAACUAAAAUCUCAAAAUUCACAUAAAAGUUUAUGAAAUGUUGAUAGAUAGUUGUUACUAUAUAUCUUUUUUUGUAAGUAUUGGCAUUUUUUCAAUUAAAUUAUUUUUAUAAAUAAAUUAAAACAGUAAUAAUAUUUUAGUCCCCAAAUCUUUUCAAUCUAUUCAAUAAAUAUAUAAUUUAAUUAUUUCAUGAAAUAAGUCACUAAUUCCAACUGGGAAGAAAAUAUAAUUGAAUUAGGAACAUGUUUGAAAAUAAAAUAAAAACUCUAUUAUUUUAUAAAACUGAUUUAAAAAAAACAUAAGGGUAGUUAAAUUAGGGACAUAUAUAAAAAAAAUAAAACUAUAUUAUUAUCUAAAAUUAAUAAAAAAAAUAAGGGGUAUAAAUAACUUUCCUGGACUAAUCCGGGCUACACCCCCGCUUAGGUCCGCUUGCGCACUCAUUACUCCAAAUACAACGUUUAAAAUUUAAAAUCAAAUUUUUACUAUGUAAAAGGGAUAUUAUCAUUUUUCCACCAAAGGUAUUCUGACACAUCAUGUCAGUACCAUGGUUUGAUAAAACUAUCAUUUUACCACCAAACGUUUAAACUGUUAGCAUUUUCCCACCAUUUCGUUAAAACUCAGUUAAUAUUUAACGAAAAAUUAUUAAAAGGUCAAUUUUACCCCUAGAGCGUAAAAGACGAUUUUGCCCUUUAAGAAUGAACAACAAUAAGUGAUGAUUAAAUUACAAAAAUAACCCCAAAAGUAGCUGUUACAUUCAAAUAACGGCUACUUUUAUGCUUAUAAGAGCUGCUGCUGGUUGCCAUUUCAACCCGCAACCAGCAACCCCAAAUCAAAGGCCAGCAAGUAGGGGUGGGCAAAAUCGGGUUCGGAUCAACCCGAUCAGAUUUCGGGUUGAUCGGGUUGGAGAGAAACUCAUCCGAACUCAACCCGAAUUUUAGAUCAGAUCGGAUCGGAUCGGGUUAUAUUCGGGUCGGAUCUAAAAUUCGGAUCAAUUUCGGGUCAAUUCGGGUUAAGGACAAAAAAAGUCAUUUGUGUUAAUUUUGGGUUGUUUAAUAAUUAUUUAAUAAUUACAAGAUCACUUUUAUGCAAUUAGUUCAUUUUAGUCCAUUUCCACUUUCCAAUGACUGUCAUAAAAAAAAUAUAAACUGAAAUAGAAUUGAAAAAGUUGUGAGCUUGGAGGACUUGGUGUCAUGAAUCUCAGUCUCGGUCUCGUUGGAAGAACAACCAUGGAUCACUUCGCGCGGGUCAAGCAGCAGCCGAUGGAUCAAGCGGCAACGGGUUUCGUCGAUGGCUCAUGGCUUCACAGGUUUUGUCGGUGGCUACCGGAAAAGCAGAUCCAAUCGAAGUGAAGUGCAGCAACCGUCGAUGCAGCAGCAAGCAGAUCCUGUCGUCAGUGCAGCAGAUCUGGUCGAGUGGUGUGCUGCAUAUGGCCGUUGCUGUGCUAACCGUCUGUAGUUUUGUUGUUGCGAGAAAGAAGAGAAAGAAGACAGUGAAGAGAAAAAAGAGAGUUGUUUGUGUGAGUUGUGAGAAAGAAGAGAAAGAAGAUAGUGAAGAGAAAGAACACGGAGAGUGAGAAAGAAGAGAAAGAAGAGAGUGAAGAGAAAGAACACAGAGAGUGUUGGUGUGAGUCUGUGAGCCAUAGUGUUCGUAUAUGUUCUGUUUAGCCAUUUAGGUUGUUUGUGUGUGGCGUGUGUGUUUAGAUUUAGGUUUUUUUUUUUAAAGCAACCCGAUCGGGUUUUCGGAUCGGAUCGGAUUUGACCUGAUCCGAUCACAACCCGAUCGGAUUUCCUUUAUAACCCGAUCCGAUCCGAUCCGAACCCGAAAUUUUUCGGGUCGGGUCGGGUAUUUUGCCCACCCCUACCAGCAACCCCAUUUGAGCACCAACAACCCAGCUGAAAAAGAAAGAAAAUGGCAACCCAGCACAACUACAAGCCACAGUAAACAUUUCAAUACCACUGCACCAGCAAGCCCAAGCCAUUUUUAAACACCAGUAAGCUCAUUUUAUUACUAGCAAUCAUGCCAGGUUUGUACAUGCAGGUUUAAAAAGUGUAAUUUUUGGCAAUGGGCAGCAAAAAAAGAUAUGGAAAUGCGUAACAUUACAUCCAAUCAUGGCAUGAACCUAAAUGAAGAUGUGAUGAAGAUAAGUGAACUACUACGAUGCAUUGAAGCGAAACUGAAAUUGGUCGUAGUUUUUAUUUGUGGCAUUGUGAUAGGCUUAUUUAUGAGGAAGUAAUGUAAUAAACAUGAAAAAAUAUUGUAGCAAUCAAUCAUUGUAGCUGAAGAUGUAAUGAAGCAUUAUAGUUUAAGAUGUAAUGCAACUGGAAAGUAAUCAAAACAGUUUGUGGAUUCCAAAAACAUAACAGCAACUUAAUGCACUAAUAUAAAGUUUGUGCAUCCAAAAUACAUAACAACAACUUAAUGCAUUAAUAUAAAGUUUGUGCAUCUAAAAUACAUAACAGUAACUUAAUGCACUAAUAUAAAGUUUUGUGCAUCUAAAAUACAUAACAGCACCUUAAUGGUUAUUUCAUACAGCAUCUAAUAUCUGUGAAGCUUGUGAGCCUUGAGUUGGAUUCGGGGAAACAUUAUCAGCUUCAUAUUGGCCAGGACAAAAAAAUUAUUACCUCAUUAUCUAAGACCAACAGUAGCUAUUUGCAGACAUCAAACAUUAAUUUGAAACAAUAACUUACCAUUGUUACGUCUUCUUACUCCAUCGCCUCUUGCUCUUGCUCUGUUACUCCUUUGGCCCCUUCGGCCUCUAUUCCUUCCUCUUCCUCUAUUACCAGUACCUCAUCUUCCUCUAUGAGCAAUAAAGCUCUCUUGUGAACCACCUACAGCCUAUUUAAAUUGAAAUAUAUAAAUAAUCAAAUCAUCAAUAUUUAUAACAAACUAAAAAUUACUCAAUGAAUAACAAUAAACAAAUUACCACUUUCUUUGUCCUCUUUGAAGUACUUGCUGCAUUAGAACUUUCUCCCGGCCCACUAACUCCCUAUUUAAAAUUACAUAGAUAACAAACAAUAAAAAAUUAAUUUCAAUACACAUAAAAACAAUUAAAACAUUAGGUUAAGUGGCUGUUACCUGCUGAGCUCUUAAUUAUCUUGCUAUCGAUGGCCUUAAUGCACAUUUCCUGACAUUGUGGUUCAUCCCACCACAAAAUGAGCAGCAGAUAUAAAAUGAUUUUUUUUUUUUUAUUGGCUCAGUGGCUGCCCUUUUCCUUGACAUUUUUGGUCUACCAAUCUUCUUGGUAAUCUCAGGUGGAAAGAGCUUGGGCCUAUCACAAGGGUCCCAUGUAACUUUGUUAGGAAUUGGCUUGAACAUCACUGCAUAUGUGUUCAAGUACGCCUCUUUGCCGAAGUAUUUUGGUAGAUACUCUGUUGCUGUGUGUCUAGCAUGACUAAUUGCAGCCAUAACAUGAGUACAGGGGAUUCCAGCUAGGUCCCAAUAACCACAAUCACAAGACCUGCUCAUGAGAUCGACAAUGAACCUCCUUGUUGGAUAAUAACCCUUGUGUUUAACCUAACAAAAAUUACAUAAUGAUUAAAUAAUAAUUAUAAGGUUGAGGAAAAAAAAUUGAUUAACCUAACAAACAUUCAGGUUCAGGAAAAAAUUAAUUAUAAGGAACAUGAGUUAGAAUUAUACUUGAAAGUGAAGAUCCCCAGAAGCCAUUACAUUCAUCUUGCUUCCACAUUCAUAUGCAACAUCCAAUUCUUUUUUCACUCUAGGUGGAAUGUUGGUCUAAGAUUGUGCUUCUUUUUUCCUUUUUGUGAAGAGUGUCAUGAACAUGCAUCUAAUUUCUUCAAGCAUGUUCAAGCAAGGCUUCUCUCUGUGGGGUAAUAUCCAACUAUUAAAACACUCUGAAGUGUUGUUAGUUGUACGAUCUACCUUGCAAUUCUUGUCAUACUCAUGUCUUGACCAAGUAAACCCAGCAAGCUCAGUCUCCAGCCACUGCCAUGCCUCUAACUUCUCUUUUUUGAGGUUUUCCAUUGCAAUAGCGUAAUCAUACUUGUUAGUGCUACUGACAGCCCUCCAAAACAGAUUUCUCAAACUAACACCAGGAUGUUCUUUGUAGAAGUUAGUAUAUAUAUGCCUAGCACAUGGUCUAUGAUAUGCAGUAGGCCAAGUUAUCUCAAUGGCCCCCAACAAACCCUUUUGCCUAUCUUAGCAAAAUGUAAUAUGCUCUAAGCCAUUAUCAAAAUACGAAUGCAGAAUUUCUAAAAACCACGACCAGGUUUCAGUAUUCUCUAUCUCACACACUGCUAAUGCUAAUGGGACCAUUCCAUUAUUAGCAUCCAUACCUGUUGAGUGUUAGAAAAUGCAUAUUUAUAAAGGAGAAAACCGUCAUUUUACAUUUCAAGUCUUAUUAACAACCCUUACUUUUAUGUAUUUAACCUUCUUGUGAUUUAAUUACAUGUCUUUUAUUUUAAUUAAGUAUUUUAUGUAUUUUAGGGGCAUUAUAGUCAUUUCACAAUAAAGGAGAGAUCAGAUGGCAAAACGGACAUCACUUUUGAACUCAGGACGGUCGAAAACCUUAGGAGGAGCAUAAAAGGAAAAAUGACACUAUUCACAUGUACGGUACUAUUCACGUAUACGGUACUGUCUACGUUACUGUUCACGAAACUGUUCACAUAGACGGAUCGAUGACGUGGCAUUGACCGAUGAUGUGGCAUUGACUGAUGAGGUGUCACGAUCCUGUUGGACUAAACUUCUUAUGUACUGUUGAUGGUGACGUGGCAGCAUAUCAGUGGAUGAAAAAUCUCGCGUACGGUGCAUGCAUCACACAGGAUUAUUUUCAACCAAACCGCGUUACUGUUCAUCCGGGUCAAACCGUGUUACUGUUCAUCCGCGUGGUCAAACCGUGGACUGUUGACUGAUGACGUGGCGCAAUCCUGAGCGUCCAAACUAUUUUUAAUCCGAUGGCCAUGAUUUACUCCAUGUAUCUAUAAAAAGGGGGCCUCCCCCCCCUAAUUUGAUAUCUCUGAAUCCAUUUUUGGGAUCCAUUUUCUGUAAUUCCCUCUCCAUCUUGUAUUUUCUUUGUAUUUUAAUAAAUUCCCAUUUUGCCCCUAGUUCAAUUAUGAGUGGCUAAUUUUCUUUCAAGCUUGGGUUGAAGGUGAAGUCUCAACAUGUGUCAUGGGCUUUAUUUGGUAAAUUUAUUUUCUUUUCCCCUCUAGUUUUUGUGGAUGAUUUGACUUAUCGUCGACAAAUAAUACUGAUCUUGUCUAGAUACCGCCUUGGUUACACCGGCUCUCUAGUAUAAGGUUAUUAUUAUUUGGCACGAUAAGCCCUUAGCACCAUAUUGAUUAGAGCGUGGUUCAUGAGGUGUGGAUCCCCCCCUCAUGAUUUAAUUGGCAUUAAUACGGAUUAUUUAGCCCAUGAUGCAUGUUGAUACGGAUCCAGAUACCCAAGUACGUCAUUUCAAUAGAUUUCGCUUCAACUUAUUCUCGCCAUUGCAAUUCCAAUUUUAGAAUUUAUUAUCGCAAUUUCAAUUCCAAUUUUAGGAUAAUUUAAAUCACUUCCACCACAAUUCCAACCACCCAUUUUGCAAAAUUAAUUCUAUACACAAUUAAAAUCCUCCUCCUCGUGGGAUCGACACUCGUCACCAUUGAUCUACACUACAAUAGAUUCAUGCGCUUGCGAGUACAUUAAAAUUUGCACAACAAGUUUUUGGCGCCGUUGCCCGGGGAGGUAAGUAAUUUUAAUUCAUAGAAUUAAUUUUUGUGAAUAAUUUCUUUUAAAUUGUUUUCUUGUAUUUUUUUUAUUAAAAAAAAAAAGGUGAAUCUGCAUUUAAAGGUUAGUAUUUCUUUUCUUUUUCUCUUCUUUAAAAUUCUGUAAUUUAAUUUUCAAUUUAUUUUUUUCUUUGUAAUUUUUAUUUAUUUUAUUAAUUUAAUUUUUAGUUAAUUUAUUUCACGUAUUUGUUUUUGUGUAUUUUUAUAAAAAGGUUGUAAUAGCGCAAUAAGGUUAGUAUCGUAAUUUCUCCCUCUUCUUUAUUUUUAUUUGUUUUGUUCCCAUCUUUAUUUUUAUUUUAUUUGUUUUGCAUGCAUGGUCGUAGGUCAUUAUUACCUAAUCUUGAACCUAUAGACCUUGAAUUAGAAAAAACACUUCGCACACAAAAGCACAUUAAAAAUAAAUUUGGAAUGGAUUUACAAGCACCACAGGAGAGGCCAUUUAAGGACUAUUUUAGUCCCUUAGCUAAUUUGAGCACAUCAUGCAUAAGAUACCCAAAUGUAGCUGCUAGGAGUUUUGAAUUAAAACCUAGUGUGCUAAAUUGUCUCCCCACAUUCUAUGGCUUAGAAAAUGAGGACCCAUAUAAUCAUCUGAAUGAUUUUCAUACCAUUUGUCAAACUUUUAAAUAUGAAAAUUUUUCAGACGAUGAUGUUAAACUCAGAUUAUUCCCAUUUUCUUUAAAGGAUAGAGCUCGUUCAUGGCUUAAUACAUUGCCUGCUAAUAGCAUUGCAUCAUGGGAACAAAUGGUUACAAAAUUUCUAAAUAAAUAUUUCUCAGUGCAUAAAACUAAUUCUAUUCGCAGGGAAAUUUCAGAGUUUACACAAAGAGAGGACGAGCAGUUUUUCGAAACUUGGGAGCGAUUCAAUGGGCUACUCUUGAAGUGUCCACAUCAUGGGUACGAAAAAUGGCAUCAAUGCCAAUACUUUUUGGAGGGAUUAUUGCCGAAUGUGCAAGAAUGGCUAAUGGCAACAAGUAGAGGAGAGCUAAUGUCAAAAAGCGCAACAGAGAUUUGGGAAUUCUUCCAGCGACAAGCGGAUAAUUCCCAACAACGGAGUCGAUCAUUCAGGAAUACUAGAAAAAUUAAAGGAGUAAAUGAGGUUCACAUUGGCGAGUCAACUUCGGAAAUCAAAGAAGUCAAGGAGAUGGUUGAAGGUCUUGCUCGACAAAUAGCAUCGUUAUCGACUGCUAAAUCAACAGAAUCACAUGACCAUGACUCAUAUUCAGAUCAAGCCAAUGCCAUAGGUGUAAUGAGAAAACCAUCGAAUUACAACCCAUACUCCAACACAUAUAAUCCUGGAUGGAGAGAUCACCCCAAUUUUUCAUGGUCUCAAGGAUUCCAACAGAAUGGACCAACAGCUCCAGCUCCACUACUGCAACCAAUUCCUCAAAAUCCUCAAGCCUCUCAGCCACCAUUCAGACCAUACAAUCAGAACCAGAACUACUCUCAACCCAGACCAUGGGAGGAUGCAUUCCAGAAUUUCAAGAAUGUUACUCAUUCUACCAUUGAGCAACAGAACCGCACCAUUGAUGGACUACGAAAUGAAUUGAGAGCGGGCUUUAACUCACAAGCCCAAUCAGUUUCAAGCCUCGAGAAGAUGGUGGGACAACUCGCUUCUUCAGUUCAGACAUUGGCAAUGACUAUUGAGAAAGGCAAGUUUCCAAGUCAACCAGUGCCUAAUCCUAAAGGAGUACAUGAAGCAAGUACCAGUUCACCACAGCAGCAUGGGGAGGUCAAAGCAGUCAUGACCUUGCGAAAAGGAAAAGAAGUCGACAACAAAGUGGAGAUGCCGGUGACCAAAGAAAAUCAAAUUGUACCUGUGAAUGUUGAAGACUCACCACCGGAGGAAAAAGAAGAAACCAACCCACGAGAAUAUGUUCCUAAAGCUCCAUUUCCUCAGAGGUUAGCGAAAGGAAAGAAGGGAAAAUCCACAGGUGAGAUUCUCGAAAUCUUCAAACAGGUAAGUGUUAACAUCCCUUUACUUGAUGCUAUUAAACAAGUUCCAUCUUAUGCCAAGUUUCUUAAAGACCUUUGUACUAAAAAGAGAAACAUGCAUGUUCAAAAGAAGGCAUUUUUAACAGAAAACGUUAGUUCUAUACUCCAACAUAAAAUUCCUUUAAAAUGCAAAGACCCAGGCUCCCCCACUAUCUCAUGUAGUAUAGGGAACCACACAAUUGAGAAUGCUUUGUUGGAUUUAGGAGCUAGUGUAAAUUUGUUGCCUUAUUCAGUAUUUGUGAAACUUGGACUGGGAGAAUUACACCCAACUCCAGUGGUGUUACAGCUUGCAGAUCGGUCCACGAAAAUACCUCGUGGUAUUGUGGAGGACGUGCUUAUCCAGGUAGACAAGUUUUAUUUUCCUGUUGAUUUCAUUGUAAUUGACACUCAACCAAUACAGGACUCAAGGAAGCACAUCCCCAUUAUUCUAGGCCUACCUUUCUUGGCAACUGCGGAUGCUCACAUUCAAUGCAGGACUGGAAAUAUGCAGUUGUCCUUUGGCAACAUGACUAUGGAGCUAAACAUUUUCAACAUUGCCAAACAACCUCAUAGUCCAGAUGAUGGAAUUGUUGAUGUGGAUUUAAUAGAAACAAUAGUCGAUAAUACUUUUAUUUCAAACCUUAGUGAUGACCCUUUACAGACAUGCUUAACUCACUUUGGUUUGAAUUUUGAUAUUGACAGAUCGGUCGAUGAGGUCAACACUCUACUUGACUCAGCACCAUCCAUGGACACUAAUAAAUGGAAGUCAAGAGUUGAACAACUAGCACCAUCAGAGAAGAAAAUCAUCCCAUCAUCAGAAUCACCACCGAAACUCGAGCUCAAACCAUUACCCAACACAUUGGAAUAUGCGUUUUUGGGAGAAGAAAGCACUCUACCGGUAAUCAUCUCAUCAUCCCUAAACGACGAACAAAAAGGUAAGUUAUUGGAUGUUUUAAAAGAGCACAAAGGAGCAUUAGGAUGGACCAUAGCAGAUAUUAAAGGUAUAAACCCAGUAGACUGCAUGCAUUACAUUCACCUUGAUGAAAAUGCUAAAACUACUAGGGAAAUGCAACGUCGGUUAAAUCCUAAUAUGAAAGAAGUUGUUAGAACAGAAGUCCUUAAGCUAUUAGAUGCAGGUAUCAUUUACCCAAUUUCUGAUAGUUCAUGGGUCAGUCCUGUACAAGUUGUCCCCAAAAAGUCAGGAGUCACAGUAGUUACCAAUGCUGAUAAUGAAUUGAUACCAACUAGAGUAACUACAGGAUGGCGUGUAUGCAUUGAUUAUAGAAAAUUGAAUUAUGUCACACGUAAAGACCAUUUUCCUUUACCAUUUAUUGAUCAAAUGCUUGAUAGAUUAGCAGGCCAUGAAUUUUAUUGCUUUCUGGAUGGUUAUUCAGGAUAUAAUCAGAUUCCCAUAGCACCAAAAGAUCAGGAGAAAACUACUUUCACUUGCCCUUUUGGCACUUUUGCAUAUAGGAGAAUGCCAUUUGGAUUAUGUAAUGCACCUGCUACAUUCCAACGAUGCAUGUUGAGCAUUUUUUCUGAUAUGGUUGAACGAUUCCUUGAAGUCUUUAUGGAUGAUUUUUCUGUCUUUGGUGACUCGUUUGAUCAAUGUUUACAUCAUCUAACGCUAGUUCUGCAGAGAUGUAUCGAGAAGAACUUAGUCUUAAAAUGGGAGAAGUGUCAUUUUAUGGUAAAACAAGGUAUUGUUCUCAGUCACAUCAUUUCAAGCAAAGGUAUUGAGGUUGACAAAGCCAAGGUGGAUCUCAUUUCUAAUCUUCCUCCACCUAAAACAGUCAGAGAAGUAAGAUCUUUCCUUGGGCAUGCUGGUUUCUAUAGACGUUUCAUUAAAGAUUUUAGCAAAGUUUCUAGACCCUUAUGCAAUUUACUUGCUAAGGAUGUACCUUUUAUCUUUAAUGAUUCAUGUCUUAUGGCUUUUGAAAAAUUAAAGCGAUUGUUGACAUCAUCACCCAUCAUUCAGGCCCCAAACUGGAGUUUACCAUUUAAGCUCAUGUGUGAUGCAUCUGAUUAUGCAGUAGGAGCAGUAUUAGGACAAAGAGUUGAUCGAAUUCCCCAUGUUAUUUACUAUGCUAGUAUGACAUUGAAUAAUGCACAGUUGAACUAUUCAACUACUGAAAAAGAAAUGCUAGCAGUAGUGUUUGCAUUAGAGAAAUUUCGAUCUUAUCUCAUUGGUUGUAAAAUAAUUAUAUUCACAGAUCAUGCUGCUCUUAAAUAUCUUCUCAUAAAGAAAGAUGCAAAAGCUAGACUAAUUCGUUGGGUGUUACUUUUGCAGGAAUUCGACUUGGAAUUCAAGGAUAAGAAAGGCACAGAGAAUGUUGUAGCGGACCACCUCUCUCGUCUCCAUUUUGACACAAUUACAGAAUCAUUACCAUUGAAUUAGUCAUUUCCAGAUGAACAAUUAAUGAAUGUGGAAGUAUUACCUUGGUAUGCUGAUAUAGUUAAUUAUCUUGUUACAGGUAAACUUCCAGAGCAUUGGACCAAGCAAGACAAGGCUAAAUUCUUUGCGGAAAUAAAGAAUUUCUUUUGGGAUGACCCGUAUUUGUUCAAGUAUUGUGCAGACCAAAUUGUUAGACGAUGUGUCCCUGAAAAUGAAAUUCAGAAUAUUCUUUCAUUCUGCCAUGCACAAGCUUGUGGAGGCCAUUUCAGUGCUAAGAAAACAGCGACUAAAGUUUUACAAUGUGGUUUCUAUUGGCCAACUAUAUUUCGAGAUGCUUACACUUUCUGUUCUUCAUGUGAUAGGUGUCAACGAAUGGGGAGCAUUACACGAAGGAACAUGAUGCCACUAAAUCCAAUUUUAGUGGUUGAGAUUUUUGACGUAUGGGGUAUCGACUUCAUGGGACCCUUUCCUCCGUCUUUUGGUCAUCAAUACAUAUUGGUUGCUGUUGACUACGUAUCGAAAUGGGUGGAAGCAAUUCCAUGCAGAACCAAUGAUCACAAAGUGGUGAUAGGAUUUUUGAAAAGCAACAUUGUUUCACGCUUUGGAUUCCCUCGAGCGAUAAUCAGUGAUGGUGGUGCCCACUUUUGUAACAAAGCAUUCAAAGCUCUUUUGACAAAGUAUUCAAUCACCCACAAAGUGGCGACUCCGUAUCAUCCGCAAACCAGUGGCCAAGUUGAGAUCUCCAAUCGAGAAAUAAAGCACAUAUUAGAAAAGACGGUGAGGCCAGACAGGAAAGAUUGGUCAUUACGACUUGAUGAUGCAUUAUGGGCAUAUAGAACGGCUUUCAAGACCCCGAUUGGGAUGUCACCCUACAGGCUAGUGUAUGGAAAAGCUUGCCACCUACCUGUGGAACUCGAGCAUCGUGCAUAUUGGGCCAUCAAGAAAUUCAACUUUGACAUGCAGCAAGUCAGCUCAGAAAGAAGAUUACAGCUGGCAGAACUUGAAGAAAUUCGCAAUGAUGCAUACGAAAAUGCCAAGAUUUACAAGCAACGAAUGAAAGUCUUCCAUGAUAAGCAAAUUAUGAGAAAAUCGUUCACUCCAGGUCAGAAAGUGUUUUUAUUCAAUUCUCGCUUGCACCUAUUCCCAGGUAAGUUACGCUCUCGAUGGUCUGGUCCCUUUAUUGUUCAUACUGUUUUUCCACAUGGGGCAAUUGAAAUUAAAGACCCAAAGAACGGUGUCACGUUUAAAGUUAAUGGUCAAAGAUUAAAGCCAUAUCUAGAGUACCAACCACAUGAAGAAGACACCGAAAUAAAUUUGAGUGACCCACCAGAUUUGAAUUAAUUUUUUUUCUCUUUUUAUUGAUUUGAUUUUUCUUUCUUUCUUUUUAUUAUUCUUUUGCUAAUUGAAAUUGUUUUUGCAUAAGUGUGUUUAUUUUACCAUUAAGUUUUCUCUUAUCAUUUUUAAUCAUGAGUCUCCUACUUAGACCGUUCCUCCUGAACAUUCUUAAACCACUUCAACGUGUCAAAACUCAUCUCAAAAGGCAGAUUCUAUUUUGUAAAACACAACGCAUUUGGGCUCUACAACCACCAGAGUUAGUAGCCUAUGUUGAGGGUUUAGAACGCCAACUCAGAGAUAUUGAGAGAAGUGUUUACGACAUCCAGUUGGAGCUUGAGGUAAAUUCAAUAAGAGGACGAUUUUAAUUUUCUUUGUGUGUUUUGAUUUGUUUUUCUGUUUGUGUGCUUUAGUUUGUUACCCCGGUGAAGUGGCGGAUAACGGUACUCCGUGACAAUCAAGUCGGUUAACUUCAGUUUCCCAUAAUAACUGAUAUUCUGAGGCGAAGGUAUGGAUACAAACGAGAUUUUAGCAAAGCUUCACAAGCGAUUCCCUUCACUUCCUCAGAAUGCCCUCCUUACGAUCUAUAAAGCCCGGUCUGAACGCAUGCGAUUGCUCAUGAGGAAUAACAUACCUGCAGACAUCCGUUGGUUAAUCGAGGCUAAAGUACGAUCGGCAGGUGAGUUACCUCCAAAAUUUAUUGCAUUCAUGCCUGGUUGUGGUAAAGGAAAUUAUGCAAGAAAACGACGAGCUCGAAGAAUUUCUGUUGCUUGUCAUAAGUGUGCCAGAAUGAGUUGCGAUAAAAACCCAUGUUCUUUAGGAAUGGUGUCUGAUAACAGGGAAGAUAAGAUUCAAUUCAUUAGGGAUGGCUUGAAUAAGGAGUCAUUGGAUGAUAUCCUUUUGUCUCUUGAAACGCAUCCUAGUGGAUAUGUGCAAGGAGCGAUUCUCCAGUUAUGGCCAUUAUUCCAGAAAGAGCAUGCACGAUAUAGUCUCGGGAAUCUGACUAUAAACGACCCUGUUUGCCAGUUUAUAAGAAAACUGGAUAGGAAGCCUAUCCUCGACCCAUAGAGGGCGUUCAAGCCGUUUCUGGACGUAAAACCAGAGGAAGAUGUGAGCCACAGUCGCAACUACCUGUAAAUAUCCUUUUACUUUACUGUUGUUUUAUUUUACUGUUGUUUUAUCGUUUGUAUUAUUAUCUUUAAUAAUUUUAUUACUGUUUGCUUUUUCCUUUUUACUGUUUCCUUUUUGACUCGCGAGCCACGUGCUUUACGCGUUAUUUGACACUGACAUGUUACCUCAUUCACAGCUGUGAUCCACUGUCACCAAGAUUCUUAAAUGUGAUUUAUCUUUUGUCAAGCACUCACAAAUUAUUUUUGAGAAGUAUCACAAUGGCAGCUACUCCCAAUAGACAAUUCAAGAACAUUUGUGUGCUUUCUGGAUUUACCUAUGGCAAACAUAAAGAGUUCGUGGAGGCAGCCAUAGAUCUUGGUCGAAGCAUAGCAGCGAGAAAAUUACAUUUGGUGUAUGGAGGAGGUAACCGAGGGUUAUCAAAAAUGGUCUCAGAAGCAGCUUUUAUCAGAGGAAGUCAAGUGUUAGGCAUCAUCCCAAGAGUCCUAAAACCAUUGGGCAGUUCAUCUAACUCAUCAACUGGAGAAGAGUUAGUCGUCUCAGGUAUGCAAGAAAGAAUAACUGAAAUGCUUAAUCAUGUUGAUGCUUUUAUUUUCCUUCUAGGAGAUCUUGCAACACUAGAGGCACUUAUGACACUAGCAUCUUGGGCCCAUCUGCACAUCCACCAGAAACCCAUCGGUUUGUUAAAUGUCAAUAACUUUUAUGAUGGCUUUAUCGCAUUUCUUAACCAUGCAAUAAAAAACUAUUUCAUUCCUUCUAAUGUGAAAAAACUCUUUAUUUGUGCUCACACUGCUAAUGAGCUACUUGAUAUGUUACAAGCUUAUAAACCGGAGCCAGACCCCUGGACCUUUGUGUUGGAGCGACCAAAUAAUGAUGGUAACAGUAGCCGCAGUAAGAAGUACAAAUUAGAUUUAACUCUCCGCCUGUAAAUAUUUUCUUCUGUGUUGCACCACCCAGGUGAUGUCUUCUAAACUCUACUUCUUUCCUUUAAAACAUUGAGGACAAUGUUUCGUUCUGGUUGGGGGGAGGGAAUAGUCGACAAUUGUGGAAUCUUGGUUAAGUUUUUACUAAUUUUUUGUUGUAGAAACUAACUGUUGCUAACGUUUUGUGUUGAAGAUGGCUGAAUAUGGAGUGUAGUUACUCUAGAAACGCAUCUUCAUCGUUUUAAAAAAAAAAAAAAAAACUCGUUUGCUUCCUCUUUCUCCUUUAUAAAUAUGUAGUUUCAAAUUUUUGAGUCGAAGAUGGCUGAAUAUGGAGUGUAGUGCCUCUAGAAACGCAUCUUCUUAGUUAAAAAAAAAAAAAUCUUUUUCUAAUUAAUUUUUCUACAUCAUUUUCACAUUUCUGCAUGCAUAUUUUCCUUUCAUGUUUAGAAUAGGUUGGGGGGUAGAAUGUUGUUUAAAAAAAAAAAAAAUUUGUGUUAUUUGUUUUAACAUUGGAUGACAUGAUUAAUUUCAAAUUUUAGUAUUUGUAUUAUCUUUGGUCUUAAGUGAUGUUACGCUAUGUUUGCUACUUUACAUGUUGAUGUCGGAGACAAAUAUGAGUUGCUUGAAGGAAUGAACAUGUCAUAAAUAAGUGCCAAGUGAGUUGUUGAGCCUAUCAUUUUCUUGGAGAGUAACCCUUUUGCCCAUUCUCUAUACAGCUUAGCAGUUUAUUAUUUUAUACACGAUCUCUAGAUUUCUUUUGAGUUAACCCUUUAAAAAAAAUGGUAAAAAUAAAAAAAAUAAAAAAUGUGUGUUGCUAUAUUGGGAUGCCCAUUUAACUAGUAGAUAUGGAUAAUUAUUUAGAGCCCUAAAAAACGAUGGAAAGGCCAUCUUUGAUCCGUUUGAGCCUUUCUAGCCAUCCCUGUUAUUAAAUAUCCAUAGUUACCCCUUUUGAGCCUUUAAAAAAAAAAAAAAAUCUUUUCUUUGUCAACUUAUCAUCUUGACCCACUCCGAUUUGGAGUAUUACUCAAUGUCUUUUAAGUUCCAUCACCUAUUUAUGUUUGAGAAAAUGUAAAUAAUUAUGUUGUUCAGUGAAGUUAUGCCAAAAAAAUAAAAAAUAAAAACAAAAAAUAAAAACAAAAACAAAAGUUGUUGUUUCAAAAGAAUAAAAAUAACAAUAAUAGGUGAAAUCCACCUUGCAAGUUCCAAAAAAAAAAAAAAAAAUCUGCAUUUUUCUCAAACAUACACUUUGUUUUCCUUAUUUCCCUUCUUUGUUAGCCAUAUCCCUAGCCUACGUUACGUCCUAAUAAAAGUCCUUCUUGAUUUUAGGAAACUAUAGUUUGAAGUAGAAGCUAGUUAUAUGGGCUAAAAAGAUGUAGUGAUGCAUAAUAAAAAAAAAAGAUAAAUAAAGUGGGUUGACUAACAUUUUAUUUGACUUGAGAUCGUAUUAUUUCUAAGCUGAGGGCAUAUUUAUUUCAUCUUGGUGAGAGCAUGUGAUAUCAUUUCUUUAUUAUUUUCUCUCUCAAUUACCAUUCAUUGGAGUGACUAUGUUUAUUGGGUUUUAAUUUCUUUGUGAGAGUGUCACUACUUCCAGUGAGAUUUUGGGGUUUGACAUGUCAUUCUUGAAAGUAGCUAUAACAAAGUCUACUGGGCUAAUUCAUGUGGAUGGUUGAUGUGGGUGUGAUGUUGCUUUAGACUGAAGAUAAUGCUUAUACUUUUAUUUGAUUGCUAUCAUUAAUCUGAUUGAAUAAACACGAGUGUUCCCAUAAAAAAAAAAAAAAAAUCAUUUUGAAUUUGAAUUUUGUUUUCGCUUUAUUUGCUAGGGACUAGCAAUAAGCUGGUUGGGGGGUGUGUUGAGUGUUAGAAAAUGCAUAUUUAUAAAGGAGAAAACCGUCAUUUUACAUUUCAAGUCUUAUUAACAACCCUUACUUUUAUGUAUUUAACCUUCUUGUGAUUUAAUUACAUGUCUUUUAUUUUAAUUAAGUAUUUUAUGUAUUUUAGGGGCAUUAUAGUCAUUUCACAAUAAAGGAGAGAUCAGAUGGCAAAACGGACAUCACUUUUGAACUCAGGACGGUCGAAAACCUUAGGAGGAGCAUAAAAGGAAAAAUGGCACUAUUCACAUGUACGGUACUAUUCACGUAUACGGUACUGUCUACGUUACUGUUCACGAAACUGUUCACAUAGACGGAUCGAUGACGUGGCAUUGACCGAUGAUGUGGCAUUAACUGAUGAGGUGUCACGAUCCUGUUGGACUAAACUUCUUAUGUACUGUUGAUGGUGACGUGGCAGCAUAUCAGUGGAUGAAAAAUCUCGCGUACGGUGCAUGCAUCACACAGGAUUAUUUUCAACCAAACCGCGUUACUGUUCAUCCGGGUCAAACCGUGUUACUGUUCAUCCGCGUGGUCAAACCGUGGACUGUUGACUGAUGACGUGGCGCAAUCCUGAGCGUCCAAACUAUUUUUAAUCCGAUGGCCAUGAUUUACUCCAUGUAUCUAUAAAAAGGGGGCCUCCCCCCCCCUAAUUUGAUAUCUCUGAAUCCAUUUUUGGGAUCCAUUUUCUGUAAUUCCCUCUCCAUCUUGUAUUUUCUUUGUAUUUUAAUAAAUUCCCAUUUUGCCCCUAGUUCAAUUAUGAGUGGCUAAUUUUCUUUCAAGCUUGGGUUGAAGGUGAAGUCUCAACAUGUGUCAUGGGCUUUAUUUGGUAAAUUUAUUUUCUUUUCCCCUCUAGUUUUUGUGGAUGAUUUGACUUAUCGUCGACAAAUAAUACUGAUCUUGUCUAGAUACCGCCUUGGUUACACCGGCUCUCUAGUAUAAGGUUAUUAUUAUUUGGCACGAUAAGCCCUUAGCACCAUAUUGAUUAGAGCGUGGUUCAUGAGGUGUGGAUCCCCCCCUCAUGAUUUAAUUGGCAUUAAUACGGAUUAUUUAGCCCAUGAUGCAUGUUGAUACGGAUCCAGAUACCCAAGUACGUCAUUUCAAUAGAUUUCGCUUCAACUUAUUCUCGCCAUUGCAAUUCCAAUUUUAGAAUUUAUUAUCGCAAUUUCAAUUCCAAUUUUAGGAUAAUUUAAAUCACUUCCACCACAAUUCCAACCACCCAUUUUGCAAAAUUAAUUCUAUACACAAUUAAAAUCCUCCUCCUCGUGGGAUCGACACUCGUCACCAUUGAUCUACACUACAAUAGAUUCGUGCGCUUGCGAGUACAUUAAAAUUUGCACAACAAUACCCACAGCGGCUAAUAGAACUCCACCAUAUUUUGAUUUCAAGUGACACCCAUCCAACCCGAUAUAUGGCCUACAGCCAUUGUUAAGGGCAUUUUUUUAAGCUGGAAAUGCCAUAAAGAAUCUUUGAAAGAGCACUUUCUCAGGCCUAGUUACAGCAUCACAAAGCACUUUACAAAUUGCACCAGGAUCAUACUUGUGAAUCACUGCAGCAUAUUGAAACAAAUCUUCGUAUCCCCUCGCAUGAUCUCCAUUAAUGUCUUUUCUUGCCCUCUCUCUAGCCCUAUAUAGUUUUAAAUCCCCUAUCCGCACACCAUAAGUCUCCAGCAUAAACUCACGAAGAACAGAAAUCUUCACAUGCGCAUCUACAGCAACUUUGCUCUUAAUUUUCUCUGCUAUCCAUUUAUUGUUCACAGCCACUGACUUUCCAGUCUGUCUACAUUCAUGCUUCUUUUGCAACUCUUCGAUUGCAAAUCCACCCUUGCCCCUUAUUUUACCUCCCAUCACAUACCAUGGACACUCAUUAAUCUUGCAUUUUCUGUAAAAUCUCCUAGGCUCAUUGUACACCUUUGUAAUUUCAAUGCCUUUAUCCACCAUCACUUCACCUAACACAUAUCUAAACUGUUCAACAUCAUCAAAUACAUCUCCUAACCUCAGCCUAUGUUUACCAUUACGCCUUGGCUUAUAUGCAUGCACUUCAAUAUCAUCCUUCAGCUGAGUGGUACCCAAAUCAUAAUAUGAAUCUGAUGUGUCUGCUAACAGCUGAGGAUCUACUUCAGCUGUUUCAUCGUCAGAACUAGAACCCCUAGCAUCAUCCAUAAUAUCUGCACCAUUAUCUUCAUUUUGGUCAUCGUCAUCAGCAUCAUCAUCAUCAGUGUCAUCUAUACGACUCCCAUCAGUUGAAUAUACUACAUCAUCAUCAUCAUUCUCAUGCCCAUCAUUCUCAUUCAGUUCUGUUGGUGGCCCUUGUAUGCCUCCAGUCCUAGGUGGUGGUUCAUUUCCACCAUCAUUCACCCAUGUAAUUUGCUCUGCAGAUAACUGCACUCCACAGUUAUGUAGCAUCGCUUGUAACACCCCACAAAGUGGUAAAUCAGGACGUAGGGUUGGCAAAAUUGUGGCUUCAAACACUGCCACUUCCAUUUAAUCAUGUACAGCGAACUGAGCCUGCAACACUGCCUCAGAAUCUACAGUAAUCGAAAGCUUGUCCCUUGGGUUGGUAACCGAUAACUGCACACUUUCAGGAGUUUCUUCAUCUGCUGCAGGGUAUAUUCUUCAGGUUCAAUCAACCCUAUAGGAUGUCUUUCACCUUUGUAAAGUAAAUGUAGUUGUAAUGGUAACAUCAUCUACCAGAUUAAAAACGAGGAAACAUUUUGAAUAACUAAAAUUACAGCAUAACUCAAAGCAAUUUAAUUAGGUAAAAAGUAAUGAAAAAUAACUAAAAUUAUGGCCAAUAACCAAAAUUUCAGCAAAACGGCAAAUGCAUGUAAGCUUAAUGGUUACAAAUAAAAAAUUAAUUAACAGUAAGCAAAAAUUAAUUAACAAUAGGCAACUAAUAAUCCUAAUCUAUUAAAUUCAAGUGCCAAUCACAACUCAAAGCAAUUUAAUUAGGUAAAAAGUAACGAACAAUAAUCAAAAUUAUGCCCAAUAACCAAAAUUACAGCAAAACGGCAAAUGCAUGUAAGCUUGAUGAUUACAAAUAAAAUGGCAAAAAUUCAUUAACAAUAACCAAGCAGUAAUCCUACUUACAAUGGACAAAGUAGAAGACAGUAGAGAUGGAAGAACACUGCUGCGAGAGUGAGAGAGAUAUGCGUCAGUUACAAUGAGCGAGAGAGAGCAGAGAUGGAAGAAGAAUCGAGAGAGAGGGGGAUUGAUUUCGAUUUCUAGGGCUCCAUGUCCAAAUUGCCCGCUUUCUUUACAAUUGCAAAACGCAACGUUUUCGCCUCACGUGAUAUGUCCAAAAUACCCUUAUGACGUCAGCAUAAUUUUUAUUCAGUUAACGGAAUUGUGGGAAAAUGCUAACAGUUUAAACAUUUAGUGGUAAAAUGAUAGUUUUACCAAACCAUGGUACUGACAUGAUGUGUCAGAAUACCUUUAGUGGGAAAAUGAUAAUAUCCCUAUGUAAAAUAUAUAAAUCUAAAAAAUAGUCUUGAAUUUUUUUUUUUUUUGGGCUCCUGUUUUAUUAUUCUUUUUCUAAAGUAAUUUUCUCUCUUCUUAUUAAAGGCUUGAGAUAAAUUAUAUAUCCCUUUUUCUUUUAUUGAAUCAUAAUUCUUCGUUUCUUCUAUUGAAUCAUAGUUCUUGUGAUUUUGAUUUUUAGUAUGUAUUGCCUACAAUUUAUCAUUGAGGUAUCAGUUACAUAAAUAUAAUUUUCCAUUAAUCUUAUUUCGAAGAUGUUAAUGAAAUAUAUUUGGUGAAAACGAUAUUAGAGUGAGGAUACGUGCACCCAUGACAAAAAUUUGCAAAGAACUCUUCAAUCUUUCAAAUUUUCCAAUUGAUAAAGAAUUGAUUUAAAAAGAAGAAGAAGAUGAUGAUGGUGAUUUAAGAUUUUAUAAUACAUGGGUGUGUCAAGGAUAUUUGUUUCAAGUUAAAAUUAUUCAAUCCUUAAUACUAAUUUCAUAAAAGGACGUUUUUAUAAUCUAAAAUUUUAUUAAAUAAAGAGGAUUAAAAAUAACUUUUAGAAUAUAUAAAUAAAUAGCCUCUCUCGAUUAUAAAGUACAAGGUCACUCGAUGAUGUCAUGAAUUUAUGUAAUCAAAUAUGAAUUAUGUAAAUGAAACAUAAGACUUAUAAAUUUAAUAUAAAACAUGUAAAUCAAUAUUAACUGUGAACUAACAUAUAAAUUAUGUAAAUAAAAUAUUAGACUUGUAAGUAGAAGGUAAAACAAACAAAUUAAUAUAGGAGUGAUAAAUUGGUAUAUUAUUGGUAAAUAAAAGAAAAACUUACAAAUGUAAUAUAUAAUUUAUAAAUCAAUAUUAAGUGUGAAAUAAAAUAUAAAUUGCGUAAAUGAAACAUAAGACAUGUAAAUAAAAGAUAAAAUAAGUAAAUUAAUAUAAGAUAUAAUAUAAAACUAUUAGUAGUAAACAAAAUAAAAAUUUAAAGAUAUAAUAUAAAACUAUAAAUCAAUAUUAAGUACAAAAUAAAACAUAAGUUUAGGUGUAAUUUACAAAAUUAAUAUAAGAUUUAUUAAAAAAAACUUACAAAUGUAAAAUAAAAAUUCAUUAUAAUAUUGAUUACCUUAUAUAUUUAUUGAUUCUAUUUUAAAUUGAAUAAUGAUAGUUUUUAUCUUAUGUAAUAAAUGUGAUGUUUUAUAUAAAUUUAUUCUCAAAAUUAGAUUUUGAAAUCUAUUCUUUUAAUGUUUUUCGAAUUUAUUGUAAGAUGACAUGAUUUUUCAUCCUUCUAAAUCUCCUCAUCAGCAAUGCAAAUAGUUUCUAAAUACAAGUAAGGGGUGACGGUUAAAAUUACAAGAAGUUUAUGUAAAACUCAAAACUAGAUUUAAUUUUAUUAAUAUGUCAUCUAUGUGUUUAGUAAUAUAAGAAUAUAUUUUUAUUUUAUUUUUUGUUUAAUCCACAUUAAGAUAAAUUAUUUCGCAUAGUUAACUUGUGUAGUAAAACAAAAAAAAAAAAUGACAGAAAAUGAAAAAAAAUAAGUUUAUAAAUAUCUUAAGACAAAUAUAGAAUUUAUUCUUAAACCAAUUUAGUAAAACUUAUUCUACUUGUUUUCAGUAUAAUUUUUUUGGUCUUAGAUUGAUGACUAUUUUUUUUUCAUUGUUUAGCUAAAGUAAAUGAAUAAAUUAUUUUUUCACUAAAAUUAUGUAGAAAUCAUGUUAAUUAUUUUAAUAAUUAACUGGUUUAUAUUAAUUUACAUGUUUUAUCUUCCAAUCACUUAUCUUAUGUAUAAUUUUAUAAAAUAUAUUUUUUACCACACCAUUAAUGCUGUAAUUCUAAUCAUGGCAUUAUAAAAUUUUCCAAUGUGGGGAAACUUCUUUACUCUAAAUAAAACUAGAGUUGUGUUGAGCACAAUUUAAAUAUCUAAACAGAGUUCCGUUGGCAUUAAACUUCAUUAUAAAAGAGUCUACAUUGGCAUCAUGCUAAUCUUAUUGACAAUAUAUAGUUGCCGGUAUUAAUUAUUUUUGCACCAUAGCUUCCGUAGAAUCAAUUGGGUACCCAGUUCCGGAUGAAGGGUUGGAACCGCCGUUGGAGCAUGUACAUAAGAUGGAGACAACUCGAAUGAGUAGUUUUGAAGAAUCAUUGCCGUGGCCAUUUUUGCUUCUACUAGAGCAAAAUUUUGUCCAACACAUAUCCUAGGACCCAAUGCGAAUGGGAAAUAUGAAACUUGAUUUUUCGCCGCCUUUGAAAUUCCUUCCGCAAACCUUUCCGGCUUAAACUCAACUGCAUCGUCACCCCAAAGUUCAGGAUCCUGGUGAACUAGGAUCAUUGGCAAGCCAAUUUGAACCCCAGCGGGUAAUGUCAAGUUUCCGAGUUUCGUUUCCUUAAAAACAGCUCGACUAAGCACAGUUACGGGCGGAUAAAGCCUGAGUACCUCGUAAAGUAUCAUCUGGACCUGUCACAUACAUACAAACACAACUGAGAUUAAUAUGAUCAAAUUGAUCAAUAUCGAAUACUAUUUCCUUCGUACUUACAAUUUUGAGGUGAUUCAAUCCAUCAUAGUCGGGCUUAUUAUUGCCAAACACUUGCAAAACCUCUUGCCUUGCACGUUCUUGCCAAUCUUGAUGCUUGCUCAAUAAGACCAUCGUCCAAUUAAGCAAAACAGAGGUAGUCUCUUGGCCGGCAAAGUAAAAUAGCUUACACUCUUCAAUCACAUCGUUCAUGCUGAACCCAACAUUUUUGUUAUUUCCAUGUUCUUCAAUCUCUCUAAAACUGGUUUCCAUCAGUAUGCCUAACAAGUCAUCAUUCGCAGCUUCCCCUGCUCUCAUUGCCUUCUCCCUAUUUUUGAUGAUUCCCAUCAAUGAAGCCCGGAUUUCCUUGUCAAUUUCUUUCAUUCUCCUAUUUCUCUUUGUAGGUAAAAACCUAUAUAUAACCAAUGAAACAACUGAAAAGACAAGAACUAAACAAACUAAUCAAACCCUUAAUUUUUUUUUUGCCCUCUUUUACCAAUCAGAAAUCUGCUGGAGCCUCUUAGAAUAACUCUAUGAUUAGCACAAUCAAGAUAUCUGAGCCGAAAUCAGCUAGGUCUACUUCUAAUAUUUUGCGGGAAAGAAAAUAACUCCCACAAAGCUAAUCAAAGCCUACUCAUAAAUAAUCCUAUAUGACAUGUAUAUAUGAAUGUUUCCAGUGAAGAGAAAUGUGAAUAUACCUCCAUCCUGGAAUGUGAACUGAACGAAAGACUUGCAUUGUGAGUUCAGCUAGCUCUGCCUGGAGCUGAAAAAUCCUUCUUCCUUCUUCAUAACUACUCCCAAAAGCCGUUCGAGAAAUCACAUCACUUGUUAAAUUUGCAAGAUAAGGCCAUACAUCCAACUCAGAUGAUCCUUCUACAGACAUUUGCUUCUCCCACUUUGUAAUUAUUUCGAUACAACUCAAGUAGAAUGCUGGCAACAUAAGCUGUAACAAAAGCAAGAAAUCUAAAUGAGGGCAAAAUCGAAUCUUCCAAAGAUAUGUAAACAAAUGGAGAAGUUAAUUAAUAAACCUUGAGCUUCUCUUGGUGGAAGGCUGGGUUGAUGAGUUUUCUAUGUUUAGCCCACUUCUCCCCCUCAAGGGUAGCCAAUCCAACUAUCAGCAGCCUGGCAAGUGGGAUUGAAUUGACUUUUUGAAAAUCAUUGAUCCUGGUAAAUAUCUCUUUUAUUUGAUCAGGAUUCAUAAUGUUCACCCUUGGUGUCGGACCAAACCACAUGAAAGAAUUCUUACCUGCAGAAUUUUUUUACCAAUAUAUACGCACAUGUUACUUGCUAGAGGCAGAUGGUACAUUGAAAAUGGUAGUAUACCUAAGCUGUGAAAAUUUAGUUAUUUUAUUCACAAAUCAGUCAAAGAAUAACCAUUCAUACUAAUUGAUUUUACUUCAAGCAGAAAAGAUCUAACAAGCAACUUUGCCCAUUAUAAGGUAAACAAUUAGAAACAUGGCACGAUUUUAUAAGAUUAUGUAAAAGCCUAAUGGCUUUGAAACAGUGAAUUAAUCAGACAACACUCAGCAAAAGGAACAACGCUGCCCUCUGGAAAUUUUACAUGUGGCAUAGCCCAUCCACUGGUUGAAUUACACCCACACGCCUAUCUCAUCAAGACAUUAGUGGUUCUAGCCACUCGGUCAAGGCUGAGUGGUAAAGUAUCACCACUUAAUUAAAAAGAAAAGAGAGAGAGAGAGAGAGAAGUUUAGCUGCAACAUCGAUUUUUUUCUCUGAUCAAAGAAGCGUAAAAAUAAAAUUAUGUUUUAACCCACCAAAAUUUUCCAGAAUUAUCUUUACGUGAAACAUCUCUUCUGAAUCAGAAGUCUAAUCAAAUUUCUUUCAUCAGACAGGAUUAAUUCUUUAAGCAGUGGCGCAGUCCAGAUAUUUGAGUCAUUUGAGUCCAGAACAGAACAAAUCUACUUUUGAACGAGUAAAGUUAAAAGAGUACACGCCGGGAUUGACAUACAUACCAUAAUCAUUUACCAGUUUAUGAAGGAAUGGAUUGACACGAAUAGCAAUAUUGUCAUCCAAACUGAGGGGUCUGGCUUUGGCUUCCUUCAGCUCGAUGGAAUUUUCUUUCAAGUCACCAAACAGAAGCCUGUAAGAAUUGCCUUUUAAACCUUGCUGUCUCAGGAAUUUCUCCAGCUUCUCGGGCCUCAGCCACACCCAGUUCAGCACUCUCCAUGCCCAUGUUAGCACCGUUACAAUAACAAUGGUCAAAGCUAUGGAUUUCAGAGGCAACUCCAUUUCACACUGACAGAUUUUGUGGGUUUAAAUUUGAAGAGACGAACGAGAAGAGUAUAUAUAGUCAUCAAGCGAAUGAGAAAAUCGUUUUCCUUUGCAUGUGUCUUUGAUUAGGUGUUUUCUGGAUCGAUGAUUUCAGAAUUUCCCCGGACAAAGACAUUGUCCCCAGUAAGCGGUGUUAACGAUACGUGUCAAGCUUGCAUGCGACUGUGAACUGUGGACUUUGUUCUAGAACUAGACUGUAUGGGAUCGAUUAAUUUUAAAAAAUAAACUAAAAUUCAUAUAGUAAGAAUUUUUAAGUAUAAAUGUUUGUAAAAUAAAAUCUAAACCUACAUUUGAAUGGCAAGCAUCUAUAAACAAGAUCUGUAUUCUGUCAUAUGACGCCAGGAAAUAUACUGCCUUUUCGUAAAUGCAUAAUCAAGCAGCAUGAUGUGCUCUGCUUUCACACGAAUGUAGGUCCACUAUGUCUUGGCUUUUACGGAAUUUCAAUUAUAUUGUUAUGGGGAUUAAUGGCUCUGCUUAAUUUUGGGGCCUGCUUUCAGAGAAAUGCAAAACGAUUAGAACUCUGCUUUGUGAUACAGACAAGACGCAAUGGUUCUAUCAUCUUCAUCUCUACUAUUUCAUUUAUCUUUAUCAUGAAUAUAAUCCACGAUUCUCAAACAUGAUAAACAAGGUCACAAACUAUGGUGUACCAAUCGGCUGUUUUUUUUUUUUAACUUAAUUAAUUUAAUUUUAACCAUUUAAAUCAUUGAGUCCAUUUAUUUUUUCAACUUAAUGAAAAUUUUCAAUCACUAAAUCAUUCAGUUAUCAAGCUAAUUUUUAAAUUUUUUGUUUAAUCUAAAAAGUCUAAAUAAUAACAUUAAAAGAUAUUCUCUAAAAUAUCUCUAUCUAAUUAAUUAAUUUUUACCCUUACCUAAAUAAAUUUUAAUAAUUGAUGUUAUUACCUACCUCUAUAACUUGUGAUAAUAUAGUGCACUAGUAGACUACUAUUAUUUUUAAUUUUUUAUUUUCUUCAAAUUAAAAUUAUUUAUCUUCAUAAUUUUUCAUCAAUAUUUUUCAUAUAAAAACAUCGUAAACUAUAGUAAAAAUGAUUAAUAUAUACUAAUUUAGAAUAUUAAAAAGAGUAUAGACAUUAUGAGACAGUAUCAUUAAGCAGCUACUGGAAUAAGAUGUUAUGAGCCUAAAUUUUAUAAGGUCAAAGUUGAAUUUGGCCGAUCCUCUAACCAAAAAAACUAAACAAGAGUUUAGUAGAGAUCACAUCAAGGGAGAUGGGACUAGUGUCUAGAUUAGAAGACAAGAGUGAUGGUAACCCUACCUAUGUGAUUGGAGAUCACAUGAAAAAUGUUCAAUAAGUUACUUGUUGUUUUGGAACACUAUCAAUAUUAUGUAAUCUUAUUUUUAUUCAAUAAAGAUUUUCUUUAUUUAUAAGUCCUCGUUAUAAUAAGAUAAUGUUUAUCGCAGUGAGUUAGGUUAAGCAAUUGAGCUUUUAAUGAACUCCAUAACUCACUUUUUAUGUAUGGUGGUGUGUUAAAACUGCAUGACAUACUUGAUGGAGGUUCACCUAUGUUAGUGUGGAAUUGGAUAAGUUCCUAUGAGAGUUAAACAUGCUUCUCUAGAGCGCUCAUGAAUACAAGAGCACAGGGCUACUAAAGUGCCAAACCGUAGAACAACAAAACAUUGAGAGAGUUUAAUGUGAGCUUCUAGUCAGCUGCCUUACAAAAAAAAGAAUAUUGGUUUAUAGAAAUUAUCAGUUUCACCAAGUUCCUAUGACACAUGGUUAGUUAUUCAAUGGCCAAUUCAUAACCCAAAUGGCACCAGUUCAUAUGCAUUAAACUCUAUGGACAAUGAUGAAAGAAAUUGAGUAUUUUGAAAUAUGUGGAGGAUUGUUAAAGAUUGAGUUUGUAUUUUAAAAUACCAAUAUUCCACAUUGCUUAAACAACAGAGUAUAAGUUGGUUUUUAUAUAGAUACCAAAUAUAGUGUAGUAACAAGCCUAUGAAGAGGAGGCCCAUAUGCAUGAAACCAAGAGCGAGUGAGGAGCUCAUUCCAUGACUCUAUUAAUUGGUUGCUCGUACCCAAUAACUCACUCGCAAUGGGGACCCUCCUUCCCCCCAUGGGGUGUUGUGUAUAUGUGUGGGCUUGGCCAUUUAUUAUGUUUUUGUCCUUUGUUUUAAUUUUAUUUAUUUUAAUUUGAAUUAAAUUGAGAAUUUAAUUCCUAAUCGAAUUAGGAUUUAAUAAAUAUAAUUAGAGUGAUGAUACAGCCAUAAACUCUUGUACAAACUUAUUUUGUACAAACUGAUGUGUCAUUAAUUCAUUGGCUGAAUAAAAAUAUAAAAUAAUAAAAAUAAAUCAUGUGGGCCAAGUAAUAUUUAAUUUAACCAAUCUUAUCAUGCCACAUCAGUUUGUACAAAAUAAGUUUGUACAAGAGUUCGUGACUAUAUCAUUACUCAUAUAAUUAUAAUUCGAAUUUAGAGAGGAAAAAGGGGUUAGGGCUUGUAUCUAUUUAAAGAGCCGAAUAUAUCACACUAUGGUCAUCCGAAAAUUUACUCUCUUGCUCUCUUCAUCCGAAAACUUACUCUCUUGCUCUCUGUUCUUUGUUGCUCUCUGUUUUCCUUUCUUUCGUCAUUGUACGUUUUGCUAUUCUAAACUAUCAAGUUGAAGUGCAACAUCACAAUCGUAAUAGUAAUUGUAUCAUAGAAAUCAAACUACUUUUGUUAGCCCUUCUUGCACCGAAAUACUGCAUCUUGAGAUAUCUUAAGGACAGUGCUAUCGCCAGCCUUAAAUGUUUGUUGUUUCCGUCCAAAUUUCAUUGUUUUUCAUCCUAAAAUUCCGACUGCUAGACCAGUAUAACUACUGGGGGAUAGAGCCUGGAUACCUAGUAGAAUAUCAUUUGAACAUGUAAGAUAUGCACACAAAAAGCAAAUUAAUACGACCAAAAUUUAUCAACUAUAGUAAAGCAUAUUUCAACUCAAUUUCAUUCGUACUUACAAUUUUGAGGUGAUUCAAUCCACCAUAAUCUUGCAAAAAACUUGCAAAAACUCUUUUCUUGCACGUUCUUGCCAAUCUUGAUGCUUGCUCAAUAGCAACAUUGUCCAAUUAAGCAAAACAGAGGUAGUCUCCUGGCCAGCAAAGUAAAAUUGCUUGCACUUUUCGAUCACAUCGUUGAAGCUUAUUCCAACAUUUUUGUUGUUUCCAUGUUCUUCAAUUUCUCUAAAAUUGGUCUCCAUCGGUAUGCCAAGUCAUCAUUUCCAGCUUCCUCUGCUUUCAUUGCCUUCUCUCUGUUUUUAAUUAUUCCCAUCAGUGAAGCUCGUAUUUGCUUGUCAAUUUCCUUCAUUCUCUUAUUUCUUUCUGAAGGUACCAGCCAGCCUAUAAGAAAUAGGAACAAUAGAAAAUACAAGAACGUAUUGAAUGCACUAAUCAAAUCCUACUUAUCGAUUUCAACAAUAUGAUUAACAUCUUAGAUUAACUAUAUGACGACAUGGAUCGAAGUUAUAAGCCCAGGAUGGGCCAAACCUACUUCCAUAUUUUUGAAAGAAAAUCAACUCCUACAUUGCUAAUUACUCCCAGAAGCCGUCCUCAGAAUCACAUCACUAGUUAAUUUUGCAAGAGAAGGCCGUACACCCAACUCACACGAUCCUCCUUUGGACGUCAGGUUCUCCCACUUUGUAAUUAUUUCACUACAACUUUGGUAGAACGCAGGCAACAUAAGUUGAAACGAAACAGAAAGAAAUUAAAAUGAAGACAUUUAUGUAAACAAAUGAAGAAAUCAAUUAAUAACCUAGAGCUUCUCUUGGUGGAACUGGUUCAUAAGAUUUCUAUAUUAACCCACUUGUCACCUCAUGGCUAACCAAUGCAAGUGCCAAUAAUCUGGCAAGUGGAUCUGAAUUGAUUUUUUGAAAAUCAUUGAUCUUGGUAGAUAUCUCUUUGAUUUGAUCGGGCUUCACAAUAUUCAACCUUCGUGUCGGACCGAACCACAUAAAUGAAUUAUUGCCUGCAUCAAUUUUUAAGCUCUGGUUAUUUUGCUCGUGGCAUAACUUACCACAGCUUGAGUUACACCCAUUAGCCCAUGAUAUCAAGAAAAUUAUUGGUCUCGCAAACAACAUAGCUCAAAUGUUUCAACACCAUACAUAUUUUCUUCAUUAAUAAAAAAACAAUUACGUUUUAACCCAUAAAAAUAUUCAAGAAUUAUCUUGAUGUGUAUGAUCUCUACUAACUACAAUUAUAACGAGAAGUCUAUUUGGAUUUCUUCCACUUAUAACAGCUCUACAAUUGUGCAAACUGAAUUAGUUUUAUUAAUAAUGGCACAAUCCAGUCGAGAUAUUAUCGUCUAAACUUUCUUUCAAGUCACCAAACAGAAGCCUGCAAGAAUUGCCUUUGAAACCUUUGCUGUCUCAGGAAUUUCUCCAGCUUCUUGGGCCCCUCAGCCACACCCAGUUCAGCACUCUCCAUGCCCAGUUCCCACUGUUACGAUAACAAUGGUCAGGUCUAUGGAUUUCAGGGGCAAUUCCAUUUCACACAGAGAGAUUUUUGAAGUGUUCAAAGAAAUGAGACUUGCCUACGUGGUAGAUUAGUUGAAAGUGAAUUAAAAAAAUAUUUUCGUUUGCAUAUGUUUAAUGGCUUUUCUUAGUUUCGAAUUUUCCUGUACCAUUAUAUUGUUUCCAGCUAAUGGUACACGUGUCAAUAUCAAUCAUGCAUGUGGUGAUCUUUGUGGACUUGUCACUCAUUGACUGUCUUCUAUAGAACUAGAGAAUGUAAGUUCGGUUAAUUAUUUGAAAAAAAAAAUUGUUUACCCCUAAUACAUUAAUUAUUCUCAAAAUAUCCUCAAACUAUAAUAAACAUUAAUCAAUCCACAAUUACUAUUAAGAAGGUAAAAAAAGAAAAAAGAAAUCAUCAAUCGUUCCCAUUUGAUCUUAUUUUUUGAAUGAUCAUUAGGGUAAAUUAAGGUUUACAAUAAUUUAGAGAUAACUGAAAUUAAUAAAAAAAUAAAUAAAAUAAAACUCAUCUAAAUAAAUUAUGCAUGGUGGGCCUAUUUGCGCUUUAAAAAAUACUCAAAAUAUACUAUUAUUUAUGUAUACUCAUUUACUUAUUUUAUAAAAAGGGUAGGGCUAUUUGCACUCUUAACAUUACUAUGAAUAUUCUUAUUUUAAUAAAUUAUUUUAUUACAAAAAUACCUAUUAUAUGAAUUACUAAUAUGGAAUCUCUCUUAUAAACUAACAUAAUAAAAUUACUCCAAACACUCACUAUUCAAUAUAUGAUUAUCUUGCCAUAAACCCGAAAAAUUUUUAAUCCAAUAUCUUAAACAAUAUUUAGUUAAACAAAGAGCAAAUCAAUACUUUUAAUAUAUUUUGAGCAUAUUUUUACUCUUUGAUUUUCAGAAGAAAAAAAAAAUUGCAGUCUUCUUCCUCUUCCUCAUCCUUCUUUUAGUCUUCUUUUUCUUCGGCUAUUUCUUCUUCCUCUUGUUUUCCUUUUUUUCUUUUUUUCUUUUUUUUUGGCUAGAUGGCAAAAAUAUUUUCAAUUGUUUGGUUAAAAAAUUGGGUGCAAAAACUAAUAUUGAAUACAUUCUUUAAUAGACAAAAGCUAAUAAAGAAUAUGUUUAGAAUAUAAUUUGAUUCCUUUGUGUACAUACUAAGUUGUUAUUAAUUCAUUUUGGAUGCUCAAUAGUUUAAUUGGUGUUUUGAGUAAAUUAGUUUAACUAGUUUAAUUAAGGUCUUUUUUUUGUAUUUUAAAGAGUGUAGAAAGUAAAUUUUAAUUAUUUUAAAUUCAGCACAUGAUUGUACAGACUAAUAAAGUGUUCAAAGUAAUUUUUGGAGUAUAAAUAACCUAAUCUUUUGAAAAAUGGUGGGACUAUUUGAAUCCACCAUAAUACUCAUUUGACCCACUUUUUAGAAAACAUUUUUACUACUAAAUUGUCUCUAACGUAAAUCACUAUUAAAGACAUAAUAGUAUGUAUAUACUUCAUGCUCUCAUCUUUUAAUCAUGUCUAAAUCUGUUCAAUGUAGACAUAAGAGAAAAUUGGUUUCAUACUUUUAAAUUUUUUUUAAAAUUUUCUUCAACUCCUUUGGUCGAAAACAAAUCUAAUCGAGUUGUUGGAUACUUGGAUUUGGUCAAAACUAUCUCACCAGUAAAGCUCAUUCGAAUCCAAUAAACCAAUAAGUUCUAGUCAAGAUAUUCUAGAUUCAAGCAAUAAAAUUUAGGAAAAUUAUCAGUCAUAUACUUUUAAAUGACACCCGCAUUAAACGUGUGUGAACACUUUUCAAAUGUAUCACUCGUGUACCCUAAGAUGACAAAACACUUCUGCCAUCCGCCAAUCCGUUAACUUCCGUUUGCAAGCGUUGACAUCAUAAGGGCAAUUUAGUCUUUUAAGAUUGACGAAACUUUGAUUUACAAAAACGACAUGUCAUCUCAUUUACCUAGUACAAAAUGACAUGUCAUAUGAUAUAUAUUGACAAAAAUGACAUGUCAUCCCAUUUAUCGGAUAAUUGUUAAUAAUUGCUAAAAAAACUACUUUACAACCGAAUCUACUCCUCUAAAAUUUAACCUAAUUUUGAAGAUCUACUCCUCCAAGUUCCAACUGGAAAGUUUUAUGGUAUAAUAUGUAUAAUUGUGAAUAAUAUGUUGUUAAUAAUUUUUUAUGGUAUAAUAUGGAUAUUUUUUAUGAAUAAUUGUUAAUAAUAUGUACCAUUAAUAAUUCAUUUUUUUAAUAAAAAAAUGUAUUGUUAAUAACAAAAUAAAAAAAAAUUGUGUAUUGAAAAUUUACGUUAAUUUUUGGGGUAAAUUUAUCUUUUUACCUUAUAUUUUGAGUUUCAAGGGUAAAAUAGUCAAUUUGUCACAAUUCUGUUAACUUUCUAAUGGAAGUUAACGAAUCUAAUGGAAGUUAACGAAUUGAUGGAUGGCAUAAGUGUUUUGUCAACUUAGGGUAUACGAGUAAUACACUUGAAAAGUGUUCACACACGUUUGAUACGGGUGUCAUUUAAGAGUAUAUGGCUGAUAAUUUCCCUAAAAUUUAUUUCAUUAAAUUUGCACUAUAUAAGAAAGGGAAAAGUUAUGCCAUUGACAAAUAUUGAGCGCUUGAAUUAGUUGUGUGAUCAAUUGAUUAUUGAUUACAACUAUCAUCUUAUUGUCAUUUAAUUUUUUCAUGAUAUUAUAUAUAUUUUAUAGCAGUUUAAUGACAAGCACGGACAAAAAAUAAAUUCCACUUGAGAAGUUGAAGGAUACGACCUUUGGUUAUGAAUGCGUCAAGGGUUGGAGAGAUGGAAGAAGAAGAAGAGAAGAAAAAUGUUGCAGAAAAUCAUGAAUUAAUUUCAAGGAUAUGUUGGUUAUUAACAUGGGUUUAUAAAGUAUAAUAUAAAAUUUUUAACAAUAGAAUUAAUAAGUAGAUGAGUUUACAAAGUAAUUUGGUGGGUUCAAAUAUACUCACUCUUUAAAAUAAUUAGUUUUUACUCUGCAUACUCUUUUUUUUUUUUUUAUGAGAAAGUAAAGCUUUCAAUUGAUUAAGAAGAAGAAAACAACAUCAACACCUAGACAGGGAAAUCACCUAUCCAGGUGACAGCAUCCUCAAACUCAAGAGCUACAUUAGCUAAGUUAUGGGCUAUUACAUUACACUUUCUUGGGACAAAACGAAUAGCUGCCGAGGCCUGGUUUUUCAACUCUGCUUGUAUUUCUUCAAUGUUCCAACAAAUUUUAGCUAAACUUUCCUUCUUGUUUAAAGUGAGCUCCACAACUUCCUUCAAGUCUGAUUCAACAAUGAAUUGGGCACAAUUUGUUUUCUGAGCUACUUGAAUACCGAGCAGCACUGCUUCUGCCUCCAUGUUUGCCACAUUUCCUUUUAAAGCUACUCUCUUAACAGCUGCAGCCAUGAUCUCAUAAAAUACUAAAAAAGCUACUCUCUUAACUCUAUACACUCUUUAAAAUACUAAAAAAGUCCUCAACAAAACCUUUAAGUAAAUCAAUUAAGAAUUUCAAGCUAAAAUAAAUCUAUACAUGUAAUCACAAUUUAUUAAAAAUGGUAGUAAAACUUUUAUAUUUGAAGUCAAGUACUUAAUUACCAAGCUUAAAUAAAUUAAACAAUUAAAAUUUAUUCAUCUUUUUAAAUUUUAAAAUAUUAUUAGUCAAAAGUUUCAAUAAUAAACUAAACUCAACUUAACAUAAAGUUAUUUGGGUGUCAUUGUUUCUUUGUCAUACACUCUACCUUUUUUUUUAAGAACCUACUGUUGACUGUUUUUCUAUCAAAAACUCCUUAAAAUAUUUAAAUUUUAUCUUCUAACUUGUCCUCUUGGUUAAUGUAACUAAUAACUAAAAUCUCAAAAUUCACAUAAAAGUUUAUGAAAUGUUGAUAUAUAGUUGUUACUAUAUUUUGUUUUUGUAAGUAUUGGCAUUUUUUCAAUUAAAUUAUUUUUAUAAAUAAAUUAAAACAGUAAUAAUAUUUUAGUCCCCAAAUCUUUUCAAUCUAUUCAAUAAAUAUAUAAUUUAAUUUUUUCAUGAAAUAAGUCACUAAUUCCAAUUGGGAAGAAAAUAUAAUUGAAUUAGGAACAUAUUUAAAAAUAAAAUAAAAACUCUAUUAUUUUAUAAAAAUUGAUAAAAAAAAAAAAAACAUAAGGGUAGUUAAAUUAGGGACAUAUAUGAAAAAAAUAAAACUAUAUUAUUAUAUAAAAUUAAUGAAAAAAUAAGGGGUAUAAAUAACUUUCCUGGACUAAUCCGGGCUACACCCCCGCUUAGGUCCGCCUGCGCACUCAUUACUCCAAAUACAACGUUUAAAUUUUAAAAUCAAAUUUUUACUAUGUAAAAUAUAUAAAUCUAAAAAAUAGUCUUGAAUUGUUUUUUUUUUUGGGGCUCCUGUUUUAUUAUUCUUUUUCUAAAGUAAUUUCUCUCUUCUUAUUAAAGGCUUGAGAUAAAUUAUAUAUCCCUUUUUCUUUUAUUGAAUCAUAGUUCUUCGUUUCUUUUAUUGAAUCAUAGUUCUUGUGAUUUUGAUUUUUAGUAUGUAUUGCCUACAAUUUAUCAUUGAGGUAUCAGUUACAUAAAUAUAAUUUUCCGUUAAUCUUAUUUCGAAGAUGUUAAUGAAAUAUAUUUGGUGAAAACGAUAUUAGAGUGAGGAUACGUGCACCCAUGACAAAAAUUUGCAAAGAAGUCUUCAAUCUUUCAAAUUUUCCAAUUGAUAAAGAAUUGAUUUAAAAAAGAAGAAGAAGAUGAUGAUGGUGAUUUAAGAUUUUAUAAUACAUGGGUGUGUCAAGGAUAUUUGUUUCAAGUUAAAAUUAUUCAAUCCUUAAUACUAAUUUCAUAAAAGGGCAUUUUUAUAAUAUAAAUUUUUAUUAAAUAAAGAGGAUUAAAAAUAACUUUUAGAAUAUAUAAAUAAAUAGCCUCACCCGAUUAUAAAGUACAAGGUCACUCGAUGAUGUCAUGAAUUUAUGUAAUCAAAUAUGAAUUAUGUAAAUGAAACAUAAGACUUAUAAAUUUAAUAUAAAACAUGUAAAUCAAUAUUAAUAGUGAAAUAACAUAUAAAUUAUGUAAAUAAAAUAUUAGACUUGUAAGUAGAAGGUAAAACAAACAAAUUAAUAUAAGAGUGAUAAAUUGGUAUAUUAUUGGUAAACAAAAGAAAAACUUACAAAUGUAAUAUAUAAUUUAUAAAUCAAUAUUAAGUGUGAAAUAAAAUAUAAAUUGCGUAAAUGAAACAUAAGACAUGUAAAUAAAAGAUAAAAAAAAGUAAAUUAAUAUAAGAUUGGUAAAUUAAUGUAUUGGUAGUAAACAAAAUAAAAAUUUAAAGACAUAAUAUAAAGCUAUAAAUCAAUAUUAAGUACAAAAUAAAACAUAAGUUUAGGUGUAAUUUACAAAAUUAAUAUAAGAGUUAUUAAAAAAAACUUACAAAUGUAAAAUAAAAACUCAUUAUAAUAUUGAUUACCUUAUUUAUUUAUUGAUUCUAUUUUAAAUUGAAUAAUGAUAGUUUUGGUCUUAUGUAAUAAAUGUGAUGUUUUAUAUAAAUUUAUUCUCAAAAUUAUAUUUUGAAAUCUAUUCUUUUAAUGUUUUUCAAAUUUAUUGUAAGAUGACAUGAUUUCUCAUCCUUCUAAAUCUCCUCAUUAGCAAUGCAAAUAGUUUCUAAAUACAAGUAAGAGGUGACGGUUAAAAUUACAAAAAGCAUCUGUAACACUCAAAAUUAGAUAUAAUUUUAUUGAUAUGUCAUAUAUCUGUUUAGUAAUAUAAGAAUAUGUUUUUUUUUUUUAAUCCACAUUAAGAUAAAUUAUUUCGCUUUGUUAACUUGUGUAGUAAAAAAAAAAAAACAAUGACAGAAAAUGAAAAAAAAAAGUUUAUAAAUAUCUUAAGACAAAUAUAGAAUUUAUUCUUAAACCAAUUCAAUAAAACUUAUUCUACUUGUUUUCAGUAUAAUUUUUUUGGUCUUAAAUUGAUGACUAUUUUUUUUUCAUUGUUUAGCUAAAGUAAUGAAUAAAUUAUUUUUUCACUAAAAUUAUGUAGAAAUCAUGUUAAUUGUUUUAAUAAUUAACUGGCUUAUAUUAAUUUACAUGUUUUAUCUUCCAAUCACUUGUCUUAUGUAUAAUUUUAUAAAAUAUAUUUUUUACCACAACAUUAAUGCUGUAAUUCUAAUCAUGGCAUUAUAAAAUUUUCCAAUGUGGGGAAACGUCUUUACUCUAAAUAAAACUAGAGUUGUGUUGAGCUCAAUUUAAAUAUCUAAACAGCUCUUGUCUAAGCUUUGAAUCUCAAUACAAAAUUAAAGGUGUGUUUGGCACGCAGCAUUACACCACAUUAAAACUCUGUAUUGUAUUAAAUCAAUACAAUAUCAUGUUUGGUAAAAAGUUAACUUUGUAUUAAACCUCAUUAUAAUACACCAAACGCCGCAAAAAAUAAACCCGUGGGGGAGUCGUAAUUAGGCCGCAUUGCAUUCGAAAAGAGAAAUAAAAUAUUUUCUUCUUCCAAACACGAUCCUCAGCCACGACCAUGAAACAAAAUUUCCCUUCUCAAAACCCAAAACAAUACUUUUCUCUCAAACUCACUCAUCUAUUCACUGAUUUUCCUCCAUUCUCCUUCAAUUUCUCAAGAGCCAAACAUAGCAAACGCCUUGUCAGUGCGGCCAAGCCCAGCCGUCGUGCAGCGUGAAUCAUUAAAUGAGUGGUGCAGCCGCAGCAUCUGAAUCUUUAAUUGGAGCGACGGUGUCAUUUGAAUUCGAACAACAGCGUGGUGCGGCGGUGGUGCUAUGGCGAGAUUCGAACGGAUUCACGUGCAGAUUUCAUUUUUCCAUUUAGGUAUUCAAGUGUUUUAGUUGAUGGCUCUAUAAAGCCAAAUAAAUAAAUAAAUAAAUAAUAAUAAUCUAUUGAAAUCAUUUUCAUGAAAUCUGGAAGUGUAGAGGCGUUGAUGUGAGAGAGAGUGAGUAAGAGGGUAGUGGAGAUUGUGGUGUUGAAUUGAUGAAUUUAGGAGAUGGGCAUUUUUUUUUUUAAUUUGUUGGCUUGUUUGUUGGUUUGAAUGUUUGUGUUCUGUUUUCUAGCAAUUGUUGUGGGAAUGAGGUGAAUGUUAAGAAUUUGGAGAAGAAUGUAAAAAUAUUGGUGAUUCGAAUUUUUCAAAAAAAAAAAGAAAAUCAUGGUUGAUUCUUGCAUGAAUAAGAUGAUUGCUGCUAGAACAGUCAGUUACUUUUUUUUUUCUGUUUCCCAAUGUUUCACUUUUCCAACUCUUGUUGAUUCAGGGGAAGCCUGAGUUGGUGGCCGAUGAUGAAACCAAGAUGGCACAGAUGGUUUGCUCUCCAACAAACCAUGAAGAGUACACGGCUUGUGGAAGUUAAAGGAGCAAAUUCUGGUUAUAUUCCUUGAAAAAUAUAUAUUACCUAGGCAUAGGUUACUGACCCUUAAUUGAAGGGGGCAUGUUUUGAUAAUAUGGGUAUCUGAAGUAUGAUUAAAUAACUUUAACAUGAAGUAACUUAAAAUGCUAUGUAUAGCUUAUGUGUUAAUAUAUCUUGUUAACUGUAUAGUUCCUAUUUUGUGCUGGGUUGCUGUAUUAAGAGUUUGAAUACUGUGGAACCUGAAGUAACGAUGACAAUUUAUUGAAUUAGGUUAUGACAAUUUAUUGAAUUAGGUUAAUUACAAUUAACACUAGUGUUACUCAUGAUUGCAAAGUUGUAUUUUUUGGUCCGAUUUUAUCCUAGGAAUGAUAUGAGAAGUUUUAAAUAUGGUGCUUUACUUAAGAUUUUAUAUGCCUUCUUGUGAAUUCAUGCAUACUUAUUCAUGUCUCACAUCUUCUCAUUGGGUGCUCAGAACGCAUUUUGGUAAUUGCAUGCAAUAACAUUGAGGGGUGAAUGGUGAUGGCCUCCUUAAAUGGAAGAAAUGAAUGAAUGGAUUAGGAGAAGCCACAGUAAGAGUGGAGUGCAUUUGAAAUUCCUAUCACACCCAUUUGGAUGCACUGUUUUCCACUCUAUUUAAAUUUCCUUUAUCCUUCAAAUUAAGUUGAAAGUAGUUUUGAAUUUUGAUGAUGGAGCCUUAGACUCUUGAAAAUCUUGAAGAUUGCGAUGUUGCUGAAGAGCAUGGAGAUGGAGUGAUUGCUGAAGAUGCUGAAGCUGGUGUUGCUAUUGUUGCUGCAAUAGUGAAGUUGUUGAGGUUAGUAGCAGCAUUGUAAAUGGCGGUGUUGUUGCUGCUGAAGAGAGCCCGCAUGGUAAGGGAUGAUAUUUGACAUUAUUUAUGGAUAUAGCAUAACCGUUCUUAUUCUAAUAUUCAACAUUAAUUUUACAGAUGAAGAGAAGCCUUAAUAUUGCUGCUUGCUAGGGAAAGAAUAAGUGAAGAGAAGCUGAAUCAGAUCUUAGAAGACAUGCUUGAAGGUUUUUUUUCCAAUAAAAAGAGAAGCAACAUCACAAAGACUACUUAUUGGGGCAAAAUUAAUAUUGGGAAGAAGAAUAAUCCGUGGGAAAAUGCUAUGUAGAUGCUCCUAAGAUAGAGAUAUAUGAGUUUUGUAACUAAGUUAAUAUCUUGGUUACUAAUUAUAGUGAAACACAUUUAUUUAGAUUCUUAUUAGGUUUAUUAUUUUCUUGGAACUUGCUGUGGACAAAGAAUUUAAUAUGUCAAGUGAAUUGUGUCUAUUGUACAUCGACUUUAACAUAUAAUAAAUCAAUAAAUGAUUCAAUUUUAACAGUACCUGUAUUUAUAUCAAUAAGACUUUCAAAGAUACUAUAAAUAUAAGUUUGUAUAUUUGAAACCCUAGUGUUCAAUAAAUUUGAAUAAUAUUAAUUUAUUAAUAAAUUAAUAUUUUUACAUUAUAAUUUAUUCAUAAAUUUAUAAUUUAUUAUAACUAAUAAUAAAUAUUUAAAUUUGAAUAAAUUUGAAUCAUAUUAAUUUAAAAUUAAUAAUAAUAUAAAUAAUAUAAAAUAUUAACACAAUUUAAAUAUAUUAAUAUAAUAUAAUAUAAUAUUUAAUUUCAAUUAAUCACAAAAAAAUAAUACAGUGUAGCACCAAAUAUUGUACAAUAUUAUUAUAAUACAGUACUAAUGCAAUACAGUAUAAUACAAUACAAUGUGCCAAACGCACCCUAAAUACAUUAAACUUCAUUAUAAAAAAGUCUACAUUGGCAUCAUGCUCAUCUUAUAGUUGCCGGUAUUAAUUAUUUUUGCACCAUAGUUUCCGUAGAAUCAAUUGGGUACCCAGUUCCGGAUGAAGGGUUGGAACCGCCGUUGGAGCAUGGACAUAGGAUGGAGACAACUCGAAUGAGUAGUUUUGAAGAAUCAUUGUCGUGGCCAUUUUUGCUUCUACUAGAGCAAAAUUUUGUCCAACACAUAUCCUAGGACCCAAUGCGAAUGGGAAAUAUGAAACUUGAUUUUUCGCCGCCUUUGAAAUUCCUUCCGCAAACCUUUCCGGCUUAAACUCAACUGCAUCGUCACCCCAAAGUUCAGGAUCCUGGUGAACUAGGAUCAUUGGCAAGCCAAUUUGAACCCCAGCGGGUAAUGUCAAGUUUCCGAGUUUCGUUUCCUUAAGAACAGCUCGACUAAGCAUAGUUACGGGCGGAUAAAGCCUGAGUACCUCAUAAAGUAUCAUCUGGACCUGUCACAUACAUACAAACACAACUGAGAUUAAUAUGAUCAAAUUGAUCAAUAUCGAAUACUAUUUCCUUCGUACUUACAAUUUUGAGGUGAUUCAAUCCAUCAUAGUCGGGCUUAUUAUUGCCAAACACUUGCAAAACCUCUUGCCUUGCACGUUCUUGCCAAUCUUGAUGCUUGCUCAAUAAGACCAUCGUCCAAUUAAGCAAAACAGAGGUAGUCUCUUGGCCGGCAAAGUAAAAUAGCUUACACUCUUCGAUCACAUCGUUCAUGCUGAACCCAACAUUUUUGUUAUUUCCAUGUUCUUCAAUCUCUCUAAAACUGGUUUCCAUCAGUAUGCCUAACAAGUCAUUAUUCGCAGCUUCCCCUGCUUUCAUUGCCUUCUCCCUAUUUUUGAUGAUUCCCAUCAAUGAAGCCCGGAUUUCCUUGUCAAUUUCUUUCAUUCUCCUAUUUCUCUUUGUAGGUAAAAACCUAUAUAUAAGCAAUGAAAGAACUGAAAAGACAAGAUCUAAACAAACUAAUCAAACCCUUAAUUUUUUUUUGCCCUCUUUUUACCAAUCAGAAAUCUGCUGGAGCCUCUUAGAAUAACUCUAUGAUUAGCACAAUCAAGAUAUCUGAGCCGAAGUCAGCUAG
rnacentral:lncRNA from 1 species